rnacentral:lncRNA from 1 species
GCCAGCUUGGUCAAAGCGAUGAUCACUAAGCAAAUAUUUUCAUCUUACAGUCACAACCCAGUUUAUUUCCAGGGAGAACAGGAGGAUAAGGCAAAAAAAAAAGAAAUUGAAUAGACUAUCGAACAACUCAUUAUGUUAAGUGUGGAAACAAUAUUGUUGACUACCAACUCAGCUAGGUAGCAAGUACAGAUAAGAGAUCAGAGAUGUUGUUGUGGUGAUUCUCAUAAUAAAAGAGAGAAGAAUAUACAUAACCAAAUCCACAGGACUGAAAUGAGAAGUACGUAGAGUGACCUACUGUCAAAUAAACUUGCAUGCCUCUCAGGACAUAUCUGUUCUCCUCCGGGAAGCUCUUCAUACUCAUAAUCCUCUAAAGUUUCAGUCCGCAAUGGUGUGUAACCAGGGUAUGGAUCCAGAUUAGGAAAAUACACAAACAAGAGAGUUCCAAAUGCAACCUGGAUUCAAAAGCCACCAAAGACAAUUGUAUAAUCUACAAUCUAAUUUAGAUACAGCACAUGGUAAAGAGAAGUUUGGAGAAUGCAAAAAGGAGUUUCAAUAUGCAAACCUGAACUGCCACCUCGCUUAUGUAAAUAUACAAUUUGAAACUGCAAACAAGAUAAAACAAAAAAAAAAAAGUUAAGCACAUAAGUUCAUCCUGCAAGACCAGGGCAUUAAACUUGCAUAAGACCAUAUAACCAACCUGCCAUAGUACUCCUUGACAGAGAGAACAAGAUUUAACAACACCAUGUCUCCCACAAGAGCAUAAACGACAGCAAAUCUGACAUACCAACGAAGUUCAUGGAUAUACGUUUUAGUUUCAAAAACAGUCAUGACCAAAGCAGAACCCCAAGCAAAAGCUUCAAGAACCAACAUGAACGCCUGCCAAAGAAACCACACACAAAAAAAAAAAAAAAAAUCUUUCAGUAAAAAAACAUAAUGAAGCAAAGCGUAGUGAUGAAGACACACCUCAUAGGGAGGAAACCCAGCUCCAUCCAAAUCCAAGAUUGAGAUCCUCAUGACCAAUCUAAACAAAGGCUCGGCAGUACUAUAAGCAGCCAACAGAGCCAGCAAAUAGCUAUACCAUUUCGAUCUCAAGCAGAACCUAUCCACUUUGUUGUCCUUUGCAGUGAGCCAAACACGGUAAAGGCAGAGAAUCAACAGCACAAGAUGAGAGGUGCCAAGCACGAAAGAAUCAAUAGCACAAGGCGUGUAUGCACCAAAGGCAUAAUCCACCAUCUUCGACCACACACCAUUAGGCAAAGGCUUGCAGUACCAAUCCAACAGCUCAAAACCCAUCUUCUCCCUCCUAAAAGAUCCUCCUCUGCUUCCAAAGCUGUAUCAAACUCAGAUAGUACACAUGACAAGUUACUAACGAUCUCCUAUAAAAAUCUGCAAGAGAAAACAAAGAAAGAGAGUGAUGUUGACAGUUGAUAAAGUGGACUUUUAAUUAUGUGAUUGUGUACUCAAUGAGGAACAUAAAAAACAAAACAAGAAGAUGUGGAUGAUAGUUUAUACACAAAUAUUAGCCACAAAAAAAAAAGCUUUUUAAUCAUUUUAGUGGAGGAGGGAUUCAACUUUUUAUCCCCUUCCUCUGAAUCAUCAUCAAACAGAGACGGGCACCAUAAAGUAAGCUCCUUUCCACUAAAAAAAAAGAUUCUCAAACGUAAGAUAAGAAACAAGAUAUCAUCAAACAGAAGAUGAUAACCUCAAAGUUUCUAACCCCAGAAAAGAAAAAGAAAUACUUUCUAUGUGGCUCUCUGCCAAUGAUAUGAAGAGCAUUGAGCAUUAUAAGUAAACGCAGAGAAAAAAGGAAACCUCGGUAUUAGAAGAGACGAGGGAGAAGAGCUUUUGCUGGUGAUUUGGAGGAAGCCUAAUCUUAUAAACUCGAGAGAGAGAGAGAGAGAUUUUGAGGAAGCAAAACGCUGCGUCACUGCUUACAACUUGCUACGCUAUGAAUAUUCAUAAUUUAUACAUAUAAAGAGUCAAAACUAUUUUCAUAUUAAUCAUUUCAUUUUUAGCUAACAACAAUCACUACCUUUUCUAUCACUUAUUUAAUUUUUUUAAGAGAAACAAAUCGGGUAAAUUAGCUAAAUGUAAUUAUAUCUUAAAAUUUAAUUAAAUAAAUAUGAUCUCUUCUUUUUUGAGCAAAUAUGGAAAAUUCUAUUUAAAAAUUUAUUUGUUGUUCAAUGACAAUAUCAUCAUUUUUUUUGUCGACUAUCUAUUUUCUUAGACUAAGGGUAUGACUGGUUUUCCCGCUACCACCCGCAAACGCAGCUUUUGCGGUUAGUAGCGGUUGCUGGCGUUUUGCAACAAUCGCUCAAACCGCUCUAAACCGCUCCAAAUCGCUCCAAAUCGCUUUGAACCUCAUAAAUUCAAAAGCUGGUUCCAGCUAGCGUUUGCGGUUGCGGGCGUUUGCGGGAGGAUAAAUUUUUUUUUUUUUUUCCAAAACAAUAUAAAUACAAAAAUAAAAAAAUUCAAUAAAAAAAUUAAAGUGAAAUUAUAAAAAUGCUAAAAUAUAUCAAUUAAAUUUUAAUUAAUAUUAUAAAACUUUAAAAUAAAAAUAUUUUCUAUAUUUUUAAAAAAUUUAAACUAUAACUUUCUAAAUAUAAAUUUUAUAUUUAUUAUAAUAUUAUUAUUUUUGAUAUUUUUAUAAUUGUAUAAAAUGUAAAUAUUAUUAAUUUAUUAUUUAACAGCUGCUGCAUUUGGUAGUUAACCAGUCAUAAGUAUCCCGCAAACGCACAAAUUUCUAACCGCAGAACCAGUCGUACAAAUCUCUUAAAACCGCUAGAAACCGCAACCACCCGCAUCCGCAAACUCCCGCAACCGCACCCGCAACCGCUGCGGUUAAACCAGUCAGGCCCUAAGUGUUGGUCAGGCGAGAUGUUCCUCCGAAUAAUGUUUCUAUCUGAUCGUGCUUGAUUUAUAUGGGAGAAAAUAAUAUUUUUGUUUCGAGCCUCUUUCGCUAGUUGGUCCGUCCAACCAUUUUCAUUGCAGGAAAUAUAAAGUAGUCUCGCUUUUUCGAAGUUUUCUUGUAAGCUUUGGAAAGUAUCAAUCUCCGAAGUAAAAGCUGGCCAAUCCAUCGAAUUGGUAAUCAUAUUCAAUAUAUCUGAACGGUCUGUUAGAAGUGAAUUGAGGGGAUCUUCAUGUACAUAAUAGCAGUGGUGUAACAAAGUGAUAUCGUCAGAGCUGAUGAUGUUUUGUGGGUCGAAGUAAACGUUCAAAAAAUCACUUUACGUGUACAUCUCAUUUAGUCAUUUUGGUCGGUUGAUUAAGAGAAGAGAAUUACAUAAAAUGAUUUGAUUAUGCGCUUAUUGUAUCACGAUUAUAACGCAGACCGAGGAUGAUUAAACGCUAAUAAGUGUUUUUGAUGGGGGUGGGCAAAAAAACCAAACCGAACCGAGUCAAACCGAACCAACCAAACCGAACCGAGUCAAACCGAACCAUCCGAACCGAAACUGAUUCAAACCAAACCAAUGUCUAUUUCAAACCAUUCGGUUGAAGAUUUUUCUAACCCGAAUGGUUCGGUAUAAAACCGAACCGAGAAACCGAUGUGUUUUUGUAAUUAUUUAAAUUAAAAAUAUUAGUAAUACCAAUAUACUAAAUUCUAAUACUAGCUAGACGACAUAUUUUCCAUUAUUCAUUAACAUGUAUUCUUCUAACUUAAUAUGUAAUCAUCAAAAUAUUUGAUUUAAAAUAUUUCAUUCAUUGCAUGCUUUUUAAUUUUAAUGAUGACACAUUAUUAAUGAUUUUCUUUUUUACUUUAGUUAAAUUUCAUUUGUUUUAAUUUUUAUAUAUACUUUUGUGACUUUUAAAUGUUUUUGUUUUAGUUUUAUAUUGAAUUUAGUUCACACAGUUUAUGUUUUUAUAAUUUAUGUUGUAAAACAUAAUUUAUCUAAAAAAAUUAAACUAAGAAAAAUCUAAUUAAACCGAUCCAAAAAACAAAUCGAACCGAAUACAAACCAAACCAAAUUAGCUAUAGUUUACUUCAGUUGGAAAAAUACUAGAACCGAACUAAUCAAACCGAACCAAGCCGAGAAAAAAACCGAAAUGCCCACUAAUUUAAUUCACUUUAGUUUAUCAUUUCUUUUAUCUUUAUUAAAUAAUUAAAUUAAAAACAAAACUAGAAAAACCCACGUCUUGCAGAUAGCUAAAGUCAAGGGUCACAGAUUUACUGAAUAUACGUUUAAGGGAAAAAUAUUUUUUUAGAGCGAAAAAAUGAUAACUAUGUCUUUUUAAACUAAUAUCUAUUUUGUGUCAUUUUUGCCCAUAACAUCUUUUAAUAUUUUUAAAAAUAAAUUUAAUAAAUAAUUUUACAAACAAAACAAAUUUGAAAAAAUAGUAACUUUUGAUAAAAUACCAAUAUGAACUUAGUGGUAUUUUUUUCAGUUCAAAAAAUAGUUAAAUCAUAAAUUUAAGAUUAUGUUCUAAAUAAAGUAGAAAUGAUAUUCUACGAAGUAGAAAAUAAAAUUCAUUUUUUCAUUGAAUCUACAACGUUUAGAAUACGUGAUCUAUGUAAAUAAGAAUAUUCUAAAAAUAUUUAGAAUACACAUUUCGCGCUUAACCUACUGAUCUAAAAUAUUUAGAAAUCAAAAUCUACACUUUAAUAUAAAUCUACAACACGUAGAAACCGACUUCUACAGAUUUACUGUAAAUCUAAAACAUGUAGAAAUCAAAUCUACAUAUUACUAUAAUUCUAAAAACCUGUAGAAAUCGAUUUCUACAGAUUAGAUGUAUUCUACGGAUAAGAAAUCAGUUCCUAAAAAUAUGGAAACAAAAUAUUUAGGAAUAUUCACUUUCAUAUUUUGAAAAAAAACGAUUUUUUUUUAUAAAAAAAAAACAAAAAAUUACAACUUUAAGGGCAUUAUUACCAUUUUAAAAAUAAUUAACCUAAUGAGACAUAGAGUAUAUGAGAUUAGUCUAAAGGGACAUUGUUAUCAUUUUUUUGCUCUAAAAAAACAAUUUUCUCUACGUUUAAAAAGGAUCAUCUAUUAAUCCAACAGACCAACAACGCACUUUUGCCACACUGACUGUACUAAGACAAUCUUUAAUCCUAGCACUUCUAAUGGGUUGCUUAAUCAAUUUUUUACUAAUAAAUGAUUAAGUACUCCUCAAGCCCGACUUCUUCGACAACUUAAUUAAACACCUUUCAAGCAGCACUUCUUAUUUUAUUUAGUUUUUUUUUUAUUAAAUCUAAAAAUUAUUAAUUAUCCCGCUUAAACACUCCGGUUAAUGGUGCUCUAAGCUACUGUGGUGGGUGAUCAUGUUGGGAUACUUUUCAUUUUAAAUAAGGAAAGAAAUACCAAAAUAAUCUAUAAUUUUUUUCCAAAUUAUGGCAGAACAAUAUCAGCUUCCGUGUAACGUACUAAGAGCACCCGCAAUGGUGUUAUCCAAAUGGAAUCCUUAGAAAAAAUGUAUUUUGAUUUUUUAAGUAUUAUUAUUUUUUUCUUUUUUAGAUUAGAAAUAAAAAAAAUAUCAACCAAUCGUGAGUCGUCACAUGUUGUAAGGACCCGCAAAUAAUGCAAGGAUUCAUUAAAAAAUAGUCCUUAUUUAGAAAUUUUAAAGAUUGAAUUCUUAACUUUUGGUGGGGUCUACUGAUUAUUUAAUUAUUUUUUUCUUAAGGAUUCCCCUUUAAGGAUUUUCAUUGCGGAUGUUCUAAUGCGGAUACUUUACCUGUUAUGUGGUUUCAGUUUCAAACCUUUCAUUAAGAAGAUGACGGAAGGAUCCGAUAAACUACAAUGUUAUGACACAAGUAACAUUGUUCACAGAAACUACAAAGUUUCUUUUUAACUUCUACGCUUUUUUCUUUUUGGCAAUUCCUGUGUUCUAUUUUAAUGCUCUCUGCUCAGGGAAAUUUUGUUUUUUUAUACAUUUUGAUAGUUGACUUAUUUUCUAGGUUCAAAUUUCAGUUAUGUAUUCAGUUGUAAUCGGAUCAGUUACAAAAAUUAUUACAUACUGGCCAAAAGUUUUGAUUCCUCGUUAAGAUCUUAGAAACGCCUCAACGCUAGAUCCGCUUUUGAAUCCAGAUGUCUGCACAUGCACUUUAAGUUGUAACUAACUAAACUAAAAAAAAAUGAUACUAUGAAAUAGUACUCUCAUUGAUACGAUAGAUUCUCUCAUUACAUGGGUCGAAUAUAUGCAGAAGUCUUUUUCCCAAUGAAAAAUUGUUUGUUCUACUAUAAACCCAUGCUGAUGACAAAAAAAAAAAAAAAAAAAAACCCAUGCUUAUCUCGUAUUGCUAAACCAUUCAGCUACAAGCCUACAAUUUUCCAAAUUUUAUUUUUCGUAUCUGUAUUUGUUCUAGAUAUAAGCCUAUAAAACAAGUUUCGUCUUAGAGUUAUACAACAAGAUUCGCACAUUAUUCAAGAAAAGACUUUACAAAGGAGAUUCGCUUCAAGUCUGUGUGUUAUUCUCUCUUGCUAUAUCAUUUUUACCCGUAUAGUUCAUGUCUAAUUCGAUGAGCCGCCCAAUGCAUGUUAGGUAUUUAUGAACGAAAAUGCUACUUAUCUGCCUAGGACAAAUGUUAGGUGUUUUCUAUCAAGGGAACAAUGCUUUUGGUUCACAUACUUGAAGAUGCGGUCGUUCUAAUUGUUUUAAUGAAAAAUAUAAUACGAGUCAAACAUUAUAAACAUAAAAACUUGAAACAUUGACUAGAUCUCCCCUCAGGUUCUUGAGAAUUUUGUUUUAAAAAUCUACAAGUUUAAAUAGCACCAAUGUUUUUGAGACCAAGGACAACUCCAACUCCGAUGAUGUGACCAACGGUACCACAAGCCAAAGUGUCGGCGAGAGUGAACCCGGCUGGGUCACCCGUUUGUAGACCCGAGUCACGUGCCUCUAGCUUAAGUCCAGCUGUUGCCUUCCUAUUGGCUGAUGGUGCUAGUCCGAAUCUCCCAGCGAACAGCAUCAGAGUCGUCGACGUUACCAUUAUCUAAUUAGAGAGUAUAAUCUAUUAUUGCUUAUACUUAAAUAACGUUUGCUUCAUAUUUGUUUUAGUUACCAGAUUUGUUGAUGAACCAAUGAAGUCACAUUUUGCACCCAAAGCUCCAUUUCCCUUGCGUCUCAUGGGCACAACAGUUGCCUGAGAGCAUUUUAAAAAUAUAACAUUAACUAAAACUUGGGAAUUUUAAACUAAAAUUAUCGUUGUAAUGUAAUAACAACUUCAUACUAUAUUACAAAGUCUCUUGUCAAAUAUGAUCAAUUAAACACAUAAAAAUCAAGUUCAAGGACGAAAUUGAACCCCUAAAAUUUCUAUAUAUUUUUAAUGUUUGUAAGUUUCGUAAGUGUAUAGAAAAUAUCAAAUCACAUUUCAAAAGACAGAAAAAAUGAAAAUUACAAACCAGGCCUUGAACUGGAGCUGCAGAGAUCUUGCUGGCUCGAAGACCAUUGAACUGAGGCAGUGUAGUCAUCACAGUGCUCGCCAUUUUCUUCGAGUCUUACGUGAAAGAUAAACUUUUAAUUUCUAGUGCAAUCUGUUUCUGAUUUGAUUUUCGCAGUUCUUUCUUCUUAUUUUGUAUUUAAAAUUUAGCCAAGGCUCAUCUUGUGGCUUUGGCUACCACAGAAAUGGAUUCGGUUUUGGCUACUCUUUGCUGACGCGUCGAGUGGCUAUUGGCGCAGCAUCUUAACUCUGGAUAAGGCUGUUGUGUCUUGUCACACCGGCAGAUUUUGUUUCUGAACCUUUUCUUGUUUAGGCUUCAUUUGUGGCCCAUUUAAUACUUUUUGGGUAUUUCUUGGGCUUCCAACUUGAGUCCCAUUUGUACGUCAUUUAAAGGAUAUAAUAGACCUUCACAGUUUGCUUGGACAAAGAGCGGCAGCAACUGAUUCAAGGAUCAACAAAACUAACAGAGAGAAGAGAACCAAAACAGAAAAACUGUGGUUAGAACUCAUGUGUUAUGAUAUUGCUUAAGAGAUGUUUCUUCAUUCUUUUUCUGUUUCUUAAGUUUUUUCACUGGUGAAAUGCAAAGACACAUGGUUUUGAGUAAAAAAAAAGUUAUAUUUUUCUUGGAUCCUCGUACUCGUUACAGGCAUCAAACACAUGAAAACAUUUAACAUAUUGACGAACACUGAUAAGUUGAUAAUUAAUAGGGUAGCUUACAUGGUUACGAGUUACAACAACCAAACAACACAUACAAACGAAAAAAUCCUAAACAAACUCUAGAAUCACACACAAUAAUUAAAAAAAAAAAAAAGCUUCUAGAAAAAAACAAACAAAACAAAUCUGUGGGAGAGGAUUCAAAUCUUAAGCAGCUGAUAUAGCAGCAUAGUCUUGGUAACGAGACAUUGCUCCUUUGAACUGGUGAUCAUCUCCUUUGUGAGUGCUCAAGCUAUGCGGAAUGUACGCUCUGAAAACCUCCUCGAGGUCCGGUCUCUGCUUCAGCCCCCGGCAAGCCACCUCUAGAGCCGUGUGUUCGAACCCUUUGUAGAAUUUCUGACGGCACACGUAACCGAAGAUGAGAGAGAUGAAUAUGAGAGGAACCAAAAGAGUCGCCCAAACGAAUAGCUUGGCUCCCAAGUAACCAAACAUAACCAGUUGAAACAGAAACAACGCCGCUAGUAUGCGGGUGUGAAUAUGCGGCCACAUCCUCCCGUAGCUCUCGUACGAUGGAACAUACACUUUCAACGCCUGUCAUAACAGAUCAAAACCAUGUUAUUACAGAUCAAGAUCAGCUGAAAACGUGCUUAAACCUAAUAGGGUUUUAUGAGAAAGUCUUACCUGGUUCCUUAGGAUGAGCCAACCUAAACCAAAGUAGAUAACACCGAACACGAGGAUCAAAGGAGCGAUUACGGAGUAGCAGAAGGUGAUUGUGAGGAUGAGCAUGUCGCUAGGAACCCUAGUCGCGUAGCUCAAGUCUCCUGGAUACCAAGCUUCUUUGACCUCGGCUUCAGUUUUGCAUAGAUACUUCUUUUUCAAAUGGAAUAUUAUCAACGGUAUGAUCCUAGACAGCUCAAGACCAUAACCAACAAAGAACCUGAAAGUUACAAAGAAGAGUUAGAGAACAAGCGCUUGUGUAUAUGUUAUUAAGACAAGAGGAAGGAGGAGAACUCACUUGAGAGCAACGUAUGUCAAGAAGAAAGUAGCGUUCUUAGGGAGACUAGUAGCCAAAACGGUAACGAUGGAGUUUGGUUUCGUCUCAAGAGCCUUCAAGUUAUCAAACAAAGACCCUGCAAGUGUCACACCGAUGAAGACAUUCAACACCGAGAAGUAAAAGUACUUCCCGGAGGCAGCUCUAAUAGCAUGACUCUGCGAAGGAAUCCCUUCUGACUUGGAUAAGAACAUGAGGAACUUAGGAAGCAUCGCCAAGAAGACAAUGAGCGCAAUCUGAGGAAGGUAAGACUGCAAGAUGGUUCUUAUAAAAGCAAUCUCCACGAUCGGUUUAAUGAAGGGAAGAGCCUUCUGGAGAUUCCCAAGAGUGGUGAUCGCAGAGACAAACGCUAUAGGGAUCAUGUAGAACAAUAUAGUUAUCGCAACGAGGAAGUAGAUCAAGUACUGUCUGACUAUUCUGCUGAAGAACUUGAUCUUGAGAUUCUCCCAGAUGAGCUGGCGAGGCUCGGGAGCUUCGGUCACCGUCCAUUUAUCAACCAUCUGGCAGUGUAGUGACUGAGCAGCUAGAGCUGCAGUGACACGGUCCGUGAAGAACACAACCGCUGCGGUUUGCUGCUUCUCGGCGAGAACCGUUCUUUGUUCUGCUUCUAGUUUGGCUACAGACUCGUUGAUCAGCUUUGUGUAAUAGUCAAUGCUGUCUACUCGCUCUCCCACUAGCCCGAGCAAGCCGGUUUUGUUCAUUGGCCGGUUACUGGUGGCUGCAAAGACCGCUUCUGCGCGCGCGAGCUUCUUCUUGUAGCCUUCCAAGUUUUCCCAUAUCUUAUUAAUCUACAAAACAUGAGCCAACACAAUGUUCAAAAAAUCAUUAGGCAAUGUUCAAGAAAUCGUUAGGCUGUAACUAGGCACUAAGGAUUAGUGACUAGUGAGAUACCAAAUUAUUGAUUUAUUUUACACUCCUUCUGUUCCUUAAAGAUCCAUUUUUUAGAAAAAAAAAUUGUUUCAAAAAGAUACAUUUUUUGUAUUUUCAAUACAUUAAUUAAUGAAAAAUUGUACUUUUCAAAAAAUACAAUUGUGUUUAGUAAAAUUUUAUUGGUUAAAAGUUAUUGGAAAUAGUUAAUUAAGAAAAACAAUGUAUUGGAAAAUACAAUUUUAAAUGUUUUUUUAAUAAGUGUGAAAAAACUAUAACAUGAAUCUUUUAGGAACGGAGAGAUAUAUAUUUUACAUUUAUAUAAGAUAUUUUAGGUUUAAUUAUAAAUUUAAUUUUAAUUAUCAUAAUUACAUAUACAAAAAAAAAUUAGAAAAAUUUAUAGAUUUGUACUAACAUUAUUACUUAUUUUACGGAUUUAAACCGAUUUAGAAGGAUUUAAACCGGUUUAAAUCAUAAAAAUUGAAUUUUAUGAAAAUCCGAUUCGGCUAGGACGAUUUGCUGCCUAGGCGGGGUCUAGGUAACCACAUGAGCCAGUGAGUAAGAAAGAUUAAGACUUUAAAGGGCAGAACAAAGCAGGUAGAUAGAUAGAUUACCUUGCUGUUUUCUGUUACGACAAGGGAUCUGUAGAAUGUCUCUGGGUAGAUUUCUCUGAAGUAAGAGUCUACGAACUCUUUCUGCGUCUCUCCGUUAGGUGGGGAAGGUAUGUCCCUAACGAGAAUAGCGUAUUGCUCUGGUAAUACUUCUUCACUAGACAUCAGAGCUUCAGCUCUCAGUGCAGCGACGUGCUUGUAAGCUUUCCAUAACAUAAAAUAUGUGACUACGGAUACCCAGUAAACCGCUCCUAGGAACGCCCACAGCCUUGAACUCCUUCUCUGUUAAAACAGAAUGAAUUAACCUUUAAGCUCAACAACAAUUAUAAAAAAAAAAAUGAAUGAAGUGUUUACUUACAGUGAUGUUAGCCAUAGAUAGAUUAUCAAGUUGGCUAAAGGUUCCGUUACUUGUGGUGUCAGUGACGUUCCUUGAGGUCUUUAAGCUGUUGUCAGUAGCGGAUAAAGGGAGUAGAGUCGGCAAGAGAAGAAGAGCCGACAAAGCAAAUAUCCCAAGAACUGUUUCAUAACAAAAAAAAAAAAACCAUCAGGAACACUCUUAUGUCAAUCUUAUUUAGAGCAACGAUUAAGACACUGAAGAACACAUUCAGAACAAAGAAACUUGUGUCUACUGGGUUCUAAUUUCAAUCCCAAAUGUCUACAAGUAAAGAUCUUUUAAAGACCAAAACUCAAAAGGUACUUUAUUUUAAGCAAAUAUGGACAAAGUAAAACAGAACAUAGCAAACAAGACAGAGUCAGAGACAACAAUAUACAACCAAAAUAAAAAAAGGAAACGUUUUUUUCCCCAAUUGUCUCCAAAGAUGGAAACUUUAUAAGGUAAAAUUAGAAACCCAGAUCAGAAGAGGCGAACCAGUGCUCAAGAAGACGAAGUAGACGGCGGUAUCGACGCCGGACAGCUUAACGACGUCUUGUUCGGUGGAAGUGAAAGCUUCGCGGAUCCAGGCAAAUGGGUUUCGGGUCAAGGAGCUGCCUUCCCAUGGAUCCAUUCCUUUCAGGAUCCGGUUCGGGUAAUAAACCGAAACGUUACCGGGUCUACGAGAGAGCCAGGUGAAGAGGAGCAUGAGCACGACGAAGAUGACUGCUGACGUCCCUAAGGACACUAGAAACGAUUCAAACUCCAUCUACCAAUCUCUGGGGGAAGGGUUCAGAUUUGAAGUCACCGUUUUAAAAAAGGAAAGUAACCGUUUGAUUGCAGGUGAGAGAGAGGAAAGGUUUCUCCUUUUUCUACUUUUGUUGUAUUUAACAGGAAGAAGAAAGGAAAAUAAAUAAAUAAUAAGAAAAUUGAAAAGAGUAUUGAUUGUCUUGUUGUGGAGUUGGCUUUGUGUGUUUGAUGGAGAGAAAUGAUUAAAUGGGAGAGAGAGGGAGAGGUGUGAGAAGAGAGUAGAGAGCGUGUUUAAGUGAGAAGGCCGACAGGUGUUGACGAAAGAGACACCAUUGGACAAGGAUGUGUUAACCCUACUUCAGCGACCUCUCUUUUCUUCUUUUCCUUUUCUUUUCUUUUCUUUUCUCUUCUCUUUUCUGUUACGAAAAUAAAUUCUUAUUUUUGUCAACAUAUAUUAUAAAUAGGACUUAUUUGUCAAAUAACCAAAAAAGAAGGUUAUUUAGCAAUUACUCAAAUUUAAAGUUGAAAACUAAAAUAGUUAAAUGAAGUCAACUAGAACUUGCUUUCAAAGAUUCAUUAGAGCUUUUUUUUUUAAAGAUUCAUUAAUUAGAGCUUACCAGAUGGAUUUCUUAAUAUAUGUAUGUAUAUUGUAAUCUUUAGCAAAUAACGGCAAGCUAUAUCGCUAAUUAAACUUAUAUAGUACUUGAAGACUUGGAGUUUUAAGUUUUAACUGUUAUUAGUGAUUUGGGCCAGUAUUGUGUUUGUAAUUUAAUGAAACACAUCAGUCCAGUCAUUAUUGAGGAAAAGCUUGGAAAACAUUGAAUUGUUAGGGUAAUUGUGGACUAAAAGGAGCAAGAGCUAAAGUCGCAGAUAAGAAAAUUUGUUUGGCUAAAUAUAAAAUAAUUGUCUGGAAUUCACAUGUGGCCGCAAAACUAAAAUUAGUAAAUGGCAGUUUUUUUAGGAAUUACUUGGCAGAAAAUUAUGAAAGACUCAAUGAAGUCGGACAUGGUUAACUUGGUCAAUUAGCUUGAAACGGCACGCUUACAGUUUUAUCAUACAGAAAAUGAGUGGAGAAGCUCAUUUAGCUGAAAUAGCAAGCUUAAAGUAAGUAUGGAAAAACAUGUUCAGAAUGGUACAAUGUUGGAGAGAAUUUGUUUUUUUUUUUGUCUACAUAAUGUUGGAGAGAUCCAAAAUACAAAAGUGCGAUGGUCAAUGCAUAUUUUCAGUCGUUUUUAUAUAAUAUUAUUGGUUUUCUUCUAAGUGAAAUCGUUGAAUUUAUAAAUUGUAGGCUAGCUAUAUGUGUAGUUUGUAUAUUGUGACUUCAAAUUUUUGAACGUGAAAAACUGAGAUCAUAUAGAACAAAAUCGGGAAUGGUGAAUAUAUGAUAUAAAAAUAUAUGUUGGCAAAAAAAACUGGUCAUGUAAUCAAAAACUCAAAGUAUACCUCUAAUUAAAAAGAAACAUAAAAUUGCUCACAGCUUUUUUUUUUUUUUUUUUUUUAAAUUGCUCACAGCUGAAGUUGAACAUUUGUAAACUUUAUAUUCAAACUUAAGUCGAUGCUGGAUUUUUAUCCCGUUAUUGUUCUUAUUCAUCUACAUUUUGCAUUUUAUCCCUCUAUAUAAUACUAUAUACUUCUAUAUUUCUGUUAAACGUUAGACAAAUAGAUCAAAUCUCUCUUGUAAUGCACGUGUAUGGUUUUAUGUGUACAUGACGUGUAAUAUAUACGCGUGUAUAUAGUAAAUCGUCGAUACAAUUUCAAGAAGUCAAGAAAACGAAAAUCGAAAGACGUCGGCGACAUGCUUGAAGUUCAAGAUAAGAGUGAAUGUGACAAUGAUCUGCCGCUAUAAAAUUAGCUCCUAAUUUAAAUUGCUGAUUUGUUUGUUGUAUUUUUUUUUAAGUGACCAAUACUAUUUGGUCCCAAUAUCACUUGGGUCCAUUGUAGACCAAGUAAAUUAAUGCUAAUAAAAUAGCUUUUGGCAUCCAACUGAAUCAAAUUGAUGGCUCAUUAGUCAUUUAUUAGACAAAUCAGUGGAUAAUUUACUAACAAAUCAUCAAUUUGGUGGAAUCAAAAUUUAAAUAAAAAAGAUAUGCGAAUUUGAUAAAGUUGAGUCCUUCACAAGGCACAAAACAAAAAGCCGUUGUCCACUUGUUGCAACGUCGACAUGAACUUCAUUGCCGACACAGAAAAAAACUUAGUGUGGGUUCCAUACCUUUGUCUUUAUUUUAUUAUUGAAAUUCGAAAGGCUUAUCUACAAUAUUUCAGUUAUUUGUUAUUUUCAAAGUAACGCUGUUCACAGAUUCGGUAGGUUUGUUGAUCUGGUCCAAAGUCUUACUGUAGAUUUCCUUUUUCGCAUAAAUGUUUUAUGUUCACGUCGACAUAUACAUAAACAACCCCACCACGUCAUCAAGUUGCUACUUCUUUUUGUUCUAACGAGUCUGCUGAGUGCUGAUGGGUAUGUUCAGUUAAACGGUUUGCUUUGCAUUUACGGAUCGAGAUGACUAAAGUAUACUCCCUCCGUUCCUAUAAAAUGUAUAUUCUGGAAAAAAAAUUGUUUUAAAAAGAUACAUUUUUUACUUUUUCAAUGUAUGAUUUUAUGAAAAAUUGCAAGUUUCAAAAAUUUAAUGGUGUUUAUUGAAUUUCUAUUGGCUAAAAAUUAUGAAAAAUUGUUAUUCACAAAAAACAAUACAUAUUUAAUGAGUUUUCUUAAUAUAUGUGAAAAGUUUAGAAUAUGUAAUUUUUAAAAACGGAGGGAGUAUUUCAGAUACAAAUGAAAGGAGUGAAUUUUUCAAUACGUGGUAUCAGCAAAAAAAGAACAAUAUAAUUAUUUUCUGAAGCCUGAUCCAAUAUCUUAACUAAAGUUUAGCAAACAUAUGAUCACUACUUUUUCAUAAACAAACAAAAAUAUUAUCUAGUCACUGAGUUCAAAAGACAUCACUAGUAAAACUUUUAGUUCAGAAUGUGUGUAAAAAGUCUGGUUAAUAUUAAAAUAGUUAAUUAUAUAGAUAAAUGAGAAUUCUGGAUAAACAUAAUAUAAUCUAUUUAUUGAGAUAAUUUAGAAGGAAAAAUAUUUCAAUAAGAAAGUAAUGGAGUCAAUAUUGUGAAAUGUGUAACCAUUGAAAUUGAUAUCAACGAUUCAAUGCCCCCAUCAAUAUGGAUACAAGCGAAGGAUCCAAUCGAGUUUCAAUAGUUUAAGAGAAUUCAGAUAGAAGAAGAGAAGUAGGUCACGAUUUCAUGGGGAACGGUCUAGCGUUCUUCUAUUUCUGAAUUAUCUAGAUAUAAGCUUGCGACUUGCGUCAUGAGGCAGAGUGUAAUUUUCCAAGCGGUUCUAGAAAACAUGUGAAUUUACAAUCUAUUUUAACCCAUUGCAUAGUCUAUAUUUUAAUAAUUUCAAAAAUCAUUAGAAAAUCAUAAGAAAAUCAUAGGAGUAAACGAACAAUUUUCCUCCCUAACACAAAGUUAAGAAAUCAUCAUGAAUUCCCAACAACUAAGAGUUACAAUCUAUCAUCUGAACUUUCAAUUGAUAUCCAAAAUAAUUUUUAACUUUGUGUGGACACAAUGUUAUAUGAUAAUUCUUCCAAAUUCAAAAAUAUUUGAUCCAACUUUUUAAGAAAAAUAUAUAAAACUCAUAAUUCUGAAGUCACUAAAAUCUUACAUACAGUUAGAAUCUAAUAACAGCACAUUUCACUUUGUAAGCUUCGCGGCUCUAUCAAAGUAAUCUUUUUUUGUAAUCUUACACGAUUAGAGUAUGCCGUUCGAAUAUGUUACAUUUACCCAUAAACUUGUGUUUGCUUGAAAAAAGAGUGCAAAAGUAAUUAGUAAAAUAAUGACUCUUCUAUGACUAAAACUCUUAAAGGUAUAAACGGUAUGGAACUCCAAUCUUCCUCAAAAUAUUCCAACUAAUUAAUUUAGGCUUUAUAAGAACGGCAUACUCUAAUCGUGUGGUUUGUGGAUUAUACAAAUAUAAUCAAACAUAAAGAUCUCUAAACUAUACUAUUCCCACAAUCAUUGUAGUGGAGACGUGACUCCUACUAGUAAACUUUUUUCGUUUGAAUUAUUUGGCAUGACUUGAAAUCAAAGGCAAUAUUUAAUCACACGAAAUCAAGUAUCGUUAUUAUUCCAAGAUUAUACUUAUAUCAUUUCUAUCUCCAUGCUACCAUAACUUAUUCUAUGAGAAUACUAUUAUGAUUAUCGAACUUCGUCGUAGCUAUCUUUAUGAUUCAUCUGGUGAUUCUGGUCAAACAUAUUAAACUCACCUGAUUUAUAGGUUUCAAAGUUUAGCUCGCGAAUGCCUGACCCAAGCAAUUUAUUUUGCGAGACUCGAAAGACAAAAAAUGGGAACGUUUUAUAAUCAAAAUGAUAUUUUUCAGUGCCAGUUUUGAAAGUUAGUGAAACUUAGGCCGUGAUUAGAAAUAGAAGUCUGGAUUAAUCUUCAAUGAUAUGCUUUGCUAGAAAAUAUUAGCUAACGUCUAAUCCCACAACCUGAGAGUUUGCUAGGCAAAUUAUGUUGUGGAAGUAUUGCCAUUCAAGGGAGUUUCUACACCAGAACUACAUCUUCUCAUGGGUUGAAAGAAAUUCUGGCACGACCUUUGAUUUCGUACAAGACAUUUGGAGAACCUAUAGGAUCAGCAACAGAAGAGUCAAUAGGGCUAAGAACAGAUGAUCUCUGCAUCAACAUAAUGAGACAGAAAAGAUCAAGAUGAUAAUACCACAUGAUGAUAGAGACAUCAUGAGCAUAAAACCAAGCAACAUAGGAGGAGCACCAGACAAGGGGAAUAUGUUGUUUGUGAAAUUUGGGAACUAUAGACAAUUUCUUAUGAAUUUUAAUAAAAGUUUGCUUUAGUAAUUUUAAAGUUAUAUAUCAAAGUGUAUUACUUUAAAAAUGUGCAUGAAUUUUAUGUUAAUAUCUGACUUGAGUGACACCAUAUUCUAAAAGAAAAUUUAAACUUUUCUGUUAUCACGGUAGAUGUCUCACAAAAAAGAAGAAAUAAAUCUGUUAUGUGAUCCUGACACGAAGUGAAUAAAAAAAGAAAAAAAAAAAAAGAAAAAACAUGACAUGCACUUAUCAGGCCUUGCAAAACAGAAGCUUGGACGGUAAAGUGUUGCAUCUCAUGGUAAAGGUCCAUUUAGCAAUAAAUGUUUUCUGGGUUUUAUGGGCCUUAUAAUGUACUUCUUCAGAGUUCGGCACGUUAAUUAGUUUAAAGGCUAUUUUUCUUUCGUUUAUAAUACACACAUUUCAAUCUCUCUUUAGUACUACGAUUUUACUCAUUCGAAAAAUACAUAUCGUAACCUUUUCGGAGGAUUUUAUUUUCUGUAAAUUUAUCCAAAGGAAACAGUAUCUCCCGAUAGGAAAGCAUGUUGGAAGACAUUGAACUGAAUAAUUAUUUCUAGAUUUAUUCACAUAGUUUUAUAUUAAUCUGUAAUAUUUCCCUUUUUACGUGUGUUAAAAGAUGUACCAAAAAGUAAAGGCAUAUAUAUAAUCAACAUUCGAAUGAACUUUUUCUUUUGCAAAAAGUUAUAAAAUUAUCAGAAUUCGUAUUUCUAAAGUAAACUGUAUACAAACCUAUUAGUAAGAGGUUUAUAAUUUCGAAGGACCUUAAUUAGUUAUAUAGAAAGGAUCACUUAUUAUUUACGAUAAGAGUAAUUGCUUAGGAUACAAUAAGACAUUCUCCAAACCGUAUCAAUAAUUAGUAUAAAUUAGUACUCUUUCCGUUUCUAUAUAAGUGUUACUUUGACAUUUUCCCACAUAUUAAUAAAGUAACGGAAACAUAUGUAAAUUGUUGUUAAUUAUACCUUUUGACCAAUAGUAUUUGAGAUAAUUUUAAUUAUUUAUAAAAUCGAUACUCUUUUCAAUUAAUUUUCAAGUAAAAGUAAGUAUAAUUUGCAUUGGAAUUGUAAAGCAACACUUUUUAAUAACAAAAAAAUGGUUAAAAUGACACUUAUUAUGAAACAAAGAGAGUAUUACUUUGAUAAACCGUAUUUAUUUAUCUAAGUACUUAAGUCUACAUUAUUAUUACAUAUUUGUUACAUACUAUAAAGUUAGCUAGUUUCAAAAAAAAAAAGUUAGCUUGGUUAUCUGAACUUUGUGAAUUUUAAUGAUUAUAUACAAGGAAUGUUUUAAAUUUAUUGGAAAGAAGCUGCAGGCGUGUAACAAUAUCUUCGUAGAAUUAUAGUAUACUUCCUCCAUUUCUUAAAUAAAAUAAUUUUAACGUUUUAAUUUUAUUUUAUAAAAAGUUUCGCUUUAUAUUUUAAAUGCAAAUUUAUGAAUAAUAUUUUAUUUUUCUUCUUAUAAUCUAAUAUAUUAAUUGAAAAGUGAUUUUUUGUUAAAGUAUUAAUGAUGGAUAAAAAUAAUUUUUUAUCAAGUUAUUUAAUCCAUGUAAAAAAGUCAAAUUGAUAUUUUUUAAGAAACACAUAUAUAGGGAAUACGUAUUAUGCAUGAUAACAACGAAUUGAGCGGUGUAGAACAAACGGUACAAGUGUGAUAUAGUUCUGAUAGUAAUAAAAAUGUAUAAAUAUAUAAUGUAUGUAAAAAAAAUUUGUUACUAUUAAUUGUAGUGCGGUGCGGGGUGGAACGAACAUUCAACGCCUUCAAUAUAUUCCUAGGGUUAUUUUCUUAAGAAAAAAUAAAUGUAUGAAAUUUAAUCAUAUACCCCACCAAGUAUAAUAUACUUUAAAUAGUUUGGAAUUGAUUAUAACACUGCACAAAUACGAACCAGAUAUUAAACGUUUAAUUAUUCUUUUGUGGCCUACAUCAUUGAUAUGAUUCCACUACUAGAUCUCAAAAGUGCAUGCUCAUGUUUAUUUAUUGUAAAACUAAAUUAUGUAUCACUUUGUUAUCUCAAUUCUACGCAUUCACACACACACAACCUAUCAUUUCUUAGAUUCAUAACCUUUCUAACAAAUUCUCGCAAUAUUGUACGAAUAUUAGGCACUAACGGCCUGCUUUAAAUUUCGGAUUUUCACCGUUUAGUGCAUCCCGUUAUUUCUACAGCGUUUUCCAGUUACAAUAUAUUAGGAUUCCGAGUACGUGUGUGUUAUAAAACUAAUCUUGAAGUAAUAUCAAGGGAAUGUAUACUAUUUUUUUAUAACUAUGGUGUGAUCUCAAAGGUUUUUUAGAUUCAAUGACUAAUUACCACAAGAUCUACAGGAUCCGCGUUUUCUUACCAUUAGACUAAGACCACUUGGUUAAGAGAAUAUAUAGUACUUGUUAAAAAAUAGUACUUGUUUAAAACAUCUCCAAAAAACACUAAAAAAAAAAUUAAAAUUUCAUAUCUGAAAUUUAAAAGUAUUCUUCUCCAAAACCAAAACUUCAAACUUAACUUCAAAACUAUUUAUAUUUAUACUAUAGUCUUUGUAUUUGUCAUACUUAAUUUAAAUUCAUAAAUUUUUUAUAAAUAACUAGCACAUAUAUACCAAAACUUCAAACUUAACUUCAAAACUAUUUAUAUUUAUACUAUGGUUUUUGUAUUUGUCAUACUUAAUUUAAAUUCAUAAAACUUUUAUAAAUAACUAGCACAUAUAUAAAAUAUAAAAACUUAAAACUUAAAUUUAGAGUUUUGAGUACUCAAAACUCUAAAUUUGAAGUUUCAUCUUUUUAUUUGAAUCUUGGUCUUUAUAAUUAAUUAUACUUCAUAUUUAUGAUUCUUAAAUAUUUUCUCAUUCAUCGUUUUAAUCUUUAAAACUUUUGUAUAUUUUAAAUAUUUCAAAUUUAUGUUUAUAAAUUUAGUUUUUACAGAUAAAUUUUUAAAAAAAAAUAAAGUAAGAUUUAUAAUAUUUUAAAACUGGAAUUAGACAACAAGAAUAUUACAAAGAAUGAAUAUGAUGUUACAUAUAGUUUCGAGAAAAUAUGAUGUUACAUAUUCAUGUUAUUGCUAGUACGUAAACUACUGAAACAAGGAAAAACUGCAUUAUAAAUAUAGAACUAAAGUAAAUAUUGCAUUUUCUCUUAAUUCAUUUUAAAAUAACUCAAAACUGGGAUCCAAUCCGCGUUAAAACUAACGCAAAUAAUAUUUUGCUAUUAUGUUUAUUUUAUUAAAUCAAGACAACCAUUGUAUGUUUUUAUCUUAUGUUGAAAUUGGUUCAAAAAUUUAAUUGAAUAUAAUAUUUGUCUUUUUAGUGCUGGCCCUGUGCCCAAGCAGAUGAAGCAUGGCUUCCGCACAAAAAUAACUAUUUAAUCGGUCAUAAAAUUUCCAAAUGUGACUUUAGCGUAACGGUUCUGAGAAAAAUUUCUAUUGUGUGAGGAGUUGGAUUUGUCCCCACCUUGACGCAUAUAUAUUAUUCCGGCCUUUAUUUGAUUUUUGAUAGGACCGGCUCUGUGUCUUUUAUGUUUAUUUUAUUAAACCAAGAUAAUGAUUGUAUGUGUUUUAUCUUUAAGUGAAACAAAAUCGGGUUGUUAAUGUAUUAUGAUUCAACUAAAUUAGAUGAUAAGUAAAUGUUGAUCGUAUAUAGUCUAACAUUAAUUUUAUAUCGGUUUGUUUAAAUUUAAUUUAAUCGAUUUGGUUCUAUUAUGAUGUCGAGUUGGUUAACUAUUGUUAGGAUAUGUGAUAUAUGUCAAUUUAAAAAAAAAAGUGAGAAUAAAGAUAUCAUAAUUCAGAUUGCAUUUGACUAGUAUUCCCUGCGUUUUUAAUAUAAGUCGUCUUACAGCUAUGCACAUAGAUUAAGAAAAACCUUUUAAUCGAUUUGGUUCUAUUAUGAUGUCGAGUUGCUUAACUAUUGUUAGGAUAUGUGAUAUAUGUCAUUUUAAAAAGUGAGAAUAAAGAUAUCAUAAUUCAGAUUGCAUUUGUGUAUAGCUGUAAUUUUUCAAACACAAAGCUUUUAAUUUUUGUUUGUGUGUGGGACGGCUCAAAUAGUGAAAAGAACCUUAUUUAAAGUUUUUAAUUGCCUAUAAUUAAGCACGACGACUAUCCUUAAUUAGCAUUAAUCGCAAGGCUUCGAAUAUCACUAGACAGAGGUCAGAGGUUAUCACUGUCUUCAAAACACUCAACAUGUCUUUAUUUGUUGUUUUGGUUUCUUUUUAAUUAGAAUUAAUCAUUAUUAACGUCUCCCUUGUAUAUUCUUAAGUACACCUUUUGACUUCUUUUUUUUUAAAUUUGUCAAAUUGUUUCGCUUACUAAGGGAGUGAGGGGCCCAUUUUAUUAUUAAAAAACAAUCUAAUUAACAUUUAGCUUCACAUUCUUGUCUCUUGUCAUGAUCUAAUGCUCUUACGAGGUUACAAAGAAAAUCUUUGUUGGUGUGUGUUUGUUUAAUGUUGUCUCUACAAGCUUAUAGCUUGUCUGAAUAAACAAAGAAAAGGGGAAGGUUAUAACUUGACUUAACGUGUGUCUGAACUACUUUUCACAUGAAUUAAAUAUUAUAGAAUUAAUGAUAAUAAAAUAUAAUUUUCUUCAAAUCCACAAUAGCGGCCAAUUCCCAAUUACUAAUUUAAUCCGUGUUUACCAAAAAAAAAAUAUGUUACAUCAUUUCUAACUCAUUGAUAUUUUCACAUCUAUAAUAAUAUCUAAUAUCUAGAAAUAAAAUUGUUCCAAUCCAUUUAUAUUUCUUCUUUUAUAAUAAAGAUUACAUGCAUUUUUCUAGUUUCUUCUAUAUUUAGAAAUUGUUAUUUACAAUAAUACAUUAGGACAGAACUCUUUUUUUUUAUAUAGAUUUUUCUAUUUUAAAAGAGAAAGAGGAGAAAAUAGCAAAAUAUAUCGAAAAUAUUCUUAGUAGAAGUCAAAAUAAUUAAACACAUUCUCUUCUCAAUGUUGACUGUAUUAUCGCCUUAUCGGGAGUAGUUGUAGGCUCUAAAGUUUCUGUUAUAUAUAUUCCAUUAGAAUAUAUUUUUGCUAGUUAUAUGACUACCAAUUCCAGACUAGUUCUCUAUCACGAAUUUUCAUGCUGAAAACUAAGUGGAAAUUGAAUUUUCAAACUUUUGAAAUCGUUGCUUGCCUAAGUUUCUUUUAAAUAAUAUAACUGGCCGGUCAACCAGACCAUGUUAGGUAAGCUUAUUAUAUCGCAAUGUUUGAUAUCUACCAAGCUGUUCUCCUUGCUAAUCUUAGGGGCACGUGCUCCACAUCAAAUUUAAUUUUAUUAUGUAAUUUUUCUAACCCUAUAAUUAGCAUUAUAUAGGAUUAUAUGUGACAUGUCCCGCGUCUAAAUAUAAACCUACAUGCGCUCUUGGAAUCUCAUAGUUUGAUAUUGGUUUAAGCAUGUGUGAUCAUAAUAAACAAUACUCCUUCCAUUUUUAAUACUUGACAUUUUAUUGUCAUUUUAAAAGAAUGUAAAAUUAAUCAAUUUUAGGUUAUAUGAAUUUUUAUUAUUCUGCAGUUUAUUUUUAAUAGAUGAAUUAUAAUUAAGUAGAUAUUUAAUGACAUUUUUGUUAAGAAAAUAUAUAAAAAUAAAUAUUUUAAUUUAUGUGUAUAAAACAUCAUCUAAAAAUGAAAGAAAUAUCAUCUGUCAAGAAAGUACGUAGCAUAGUAUAGAUACAAUAUAUAGUUAGUUAACUAUAGCUCUCGUUUGGAAAUAUUAAAGAAAAGUUGGCUAUUUCUGUUUUAUAUUUUCAUAUCAACAGAAAAAAAAAUAUUUUCAUAUCAACAAAACAAAAGCAAGUUAAACUAUAGUAUGGACUCUUCAGAAAAUUAAACUCUUCAAAAUCCAUACCUUAGCAAAAGUUGGAUGCUCAUGAGUCACGAGGUAUACGAUCUUUAGACCAAAUUGCAUUCGAUUAUAAUUUAAAACUAGAUUAAAUCUGCGUCUUACGGAGGAUAAGCAUUAUAUAUAUAUAUAUUAUUUUAUGUAUUAUAUGAUUUAUAUAUUAUGAAAUAAUAAAUACAUAUUGAAUAAUUAAAAGUUAGUAACUAUCACAUAUACAAUUAAAUUAGUGCGAACAUAUAAAUCAAUUUUAAUAAUUCAAACAAUAAUUUUUUUCUAUUUGAUAGGAUAUAUAAUUAAAUUUAAAUGAUAUUAACAUAUAUACAUAAUAUAUUUUUAAUAUUAAUGUAUAUUAAAUGAUGCUUUCUACUAAUAUAGUUUUUUUUAUCAUUUAUACCAAAAACAUUAAAUUACUAAUAACAAAAAGUUUUAUUGUAGGAUUAAUAGUUUUAGUAAUUUAUAAUUUUUUUAAAAAUUAAGUUGUCAAUGUUUGUUCAAAGCUUUUAUCGAAAAAAAUAUAAUUCAAAGUAAAUUUUAAAAUUAAAAUAUUUAUGUAUUUAUAUGGUAUAUAGUUUAAUUUAAAACGAUAUAUAUAUAUAUAUAUAUAUAUAUAUAUCUUUUAAUCUUAAUAAUUAGUUAAAUUAUAUUUUUUAUUUAGAUGAUUUUUUUAAUCAUUUUUAUUUUGUCAUAACAAAAAUUUUAAACCAUGGAUUACAAAAUUUGAAUGUGAGAUUUUUAACAGUUUUAGUAAUUUAUAAUUGUUUUUAAAAUUCAAAAUAUAACAUAUACAAAAAAAUCUAAAUUUUAUUUUAUGGUUAAUGUGAUUGUUAAAUUUAUUUUAAUAAUUUAAAAUUAAACAAAUAUGAUAGAAGAUACCCUAAUUUUUAUUAAAUCUUUUAGAUUCAAAACCAUUAAUUGUCAUAUAUAUUUUAGCCACAUUAGACAAUUCUGUAACUUUUAUUUAAGAAAAUAAUAAAUAAUAUUAAUAAUGAAUUUAUGGAAAGUUUAUAAAAAAUUUAUUAUAUACCAACCUAUUUUCUAAUGAUUUUAAGAAUCAUCUUAUUGAUGAUACGUGGCUACAAAAAAAGUUGUAAUGUUUCUCAAUUAUAUGAAUGUGUUCUUACAUAGUAUAUAUGGGUUACAAGUUGAUGAGAAUUGUUGGCUAAAAAACUGUUCUUUUCCAAAAAAAAAAAAAAUUCAAUUUCAUUUAGCAUAAAAGAGGGGUCGAUGUGUUCUAAUUAAAGAAGACAUCCUUAAAAGAGAACAGUAUUUCAUUUAAGGUAUCUUCCUUUUCCAGAAAUCACCUGAAAAAUAACUCCAUGAAUAUCUAAAGCAAUUUGUAGAUAUUAGUUUUUUUUUUGACAUCUUGUAGAUAUUAUAGUUUAAUUAUGUAUCCAUUAAUCCAUAGUAAUCAUUUUCUUGUGGACGAUCCUUAGCAUGUUUGCUUUAGAUAUAACGACGAUGUAUCUUAAUAAUAAAUUUAAAAAGAAGGGAAUAAUUUUCCCGAAGAAAGGAUGUAUCAAUUCAAGCAGACAUAAUGCAUGUACGAUGUAUAUAUAUAUAUGUAUAUGUAUAUAUGUAUAUAUAUAUAUAUAUGUAUAUGUAUAUAUGUAUUUUUAACUAAAUUUCUUUUGAUCCUUUUUCGAUUGGUGUGUGUUAAGAAUAGUGCUGGGAAUAUGAAUCAUUAUCCGCGGGCUCCGUUCCAUUUGAUUCGUUGCAGGGCGGGUGCGGAUCGAGUAAUUUGAAAAUUUUGGUUCGCGGAUGUGGGUGCGGGUUGAGUGAUUUUUAUGCGGGGCGAAUGCGGAUCAGCCAAAAUUUAGUGCGGGUACCCGCCAACCCGCAAAAACUAAAAAAAGAUUUUUUUUUAAAAAUAUUAUUUUAAAAUAGAAUUUUUUUAAAAAAUUAUUUAAUUUUAAUGAUAAAUAGAUUAAUAUUUAUUAUUUUUAAUAAAAUUUAUUUAAAAUAAUAUAUUUUAUUGUUAUUUAUAAUAAAAAAUACUUAAAAUAUUAAAUUUUAUUGUUAUUUUUAAUAAAAAUAUUUAAAUUAAUAAUUUUUAUUAUUAAUAAUAUUAUCCGCGGAUCUAGCGGAUCACCGGCGGAUUUAAGCGGAACGGGUGCGGAUUUUAUAUUUUCUUCUAGCGGGUCAAGCAGGUCAAAUUUUUUGAAUAAAAAAAUCAGUUCAUCCGCGAGUUGGCGGGUCAAGCGGAGCGGGUUUGACCCGCAACCCAGCUCUAAUUAAGAACCAUGCUAAUUUUUCUCUAUAGUUCUAGUUUUUUCAGAAGUCCUCAGAAAAUAUAUAUAUAUAUAUAUAUAUAUAUAUAUACAUAUUUUAUUUUAGAAAAUAUGAUAACAACUAAAUGAUAGUGGAGGACUGGUUCCACUUUGAUUAGAUUUUGUUUUUUCGUUACACAUUAGGAAAUUACCUCUGAAAUUAAAUUUUUUUUAUCAUUUUAUAUCUGUAAACGUUUUAAGUGAUAAAAAAUUGAUUUUUAAAUUUUAAAUCUGAAUUUUGUGAAUCAUACUAAAGUUUCAGCAUGAAUAUACAGAGGCGUACCUUAAGCGCUCCAAUUUGUAUAACAUAUUUUAGGGGUUCCAUUUUUAUCUUUUUUUUCAAUUGGUUAUAUAUAUAUAAACUUCUUUUAUUUUCGGACUAAAAAAUAAUUUAUUUAUGCUAUUUAGAUUUAUUUCAUGUUAUUAGACUUCUAGAUUUAAUAUAUCAUCUAUUUUCAUAAAACUAUUAUUUUCUUUAUUUAAUUUUUAGACUUUGAAUUAUAACUUCUUUUAGCUUGUAUGAGUUUAUUUUUAUAAGCUUACCAUUCAGCAUAUCUAAAUAAGCACAUAUUUAAUAAAUAAUUAUAAAAUUUUCAUAGAAAAUUUCAAAUCUUGUAUUUUUGGUUUAAUAAACUAUGUAGUUUGUAUUCUUAUAAGAAAUAAUAUGUUCAAUUUUUCAUAUGAAUUUAUAAAUAUUAAAUACAUAAUUGUUUGUAAGGUUUUAUGUAAUAGAUAUUUAUUACUAAUAAUGGAAACGUUUUUACUCUAGCCUUUGUUUUACACUGGAUUUUAUUAUUAAGCUUUUUUGGCAAAAAAUUCUAAGCAAUAAGAACUAACAAAACAAAUAUAGAAAAUGGAUACAUCAUUAGGGAUCCAAAGUAAACUAAAACACAUCUAUUUUUCAUAUCGAUAAUUAAAUAUUUUUCAUAUAAAAGUUCUAUAUAUAUUUACUCUAGCCUUAGGCCUCAAACAUCUAGGCACGGCACUGUAAAUAUACAUCCAUAGUUAUAAAACCGAAAUAAAAUAAACUAUUAGGUUUUCUUGUACAAAACUAAAAGCCUGUAUAGUAUAAGUGUAUAAGAUUGACUUAAUUUGAAACAAUAUUUUUUCUAGUUUGCACGGCUACUUUAUAUUAACGAUAUGGUCUAAACUACGAUAUAACCAAAAAAUGUUCAUUGCCUAAGAUAUAGAUUAAUGGGUUAGCUUGUUAUCUCCCAAUGUUUGAUUUUAUUAAUAUUUUAAUACUAUUAAUUAACAAGUCUGAAUAAUAUUAUGUUUUAUAUUUGUUUAAAUAAUUCUAACAAUGAUUAUAGACCUCCCAUUAAUCGGUGCUAAAAACUAAACCACUCUUAAGUAUCGAAAACAUAUUUUGGUUAUCAAAUUUUGUUUUUAUAGGAUUUUUAUAAAUUAGGUAAGAUAUAUAUAUAUAUGCUAUUUUUACAACUAUAUAUUAUAUAAAAUCUAAAAGAAUUUAUUUUACUCAAAAAAUUAUUUUACGCGAUAAGAAAAUUAUUUAUUUAAGACAUCAAUAAUUUUAAGAAUAAUUUGAAUUGUAACAAAAUAACCCAGGCUUUUAUCUUUCAAGCUACAUGAGAUUUUUCAAACACAAUACCAAAAUGAAUUGGUUAAUAAAUAUGAAUUUGAAUUGGGUAACAAAUAAAAAAAUAUUUUCAAAUACCAAUAAAAUAAAUUAUCAUUUUAAAAAUAAUACGCAAGAAUGAAAAUCACAAAUUAACAUUUGCCAAAAUAUAUAAAUAAUAUAUCAUUACUUAUAAUAUUAUUAAUCAAAAUAUUAAAACAAAAUUUGAUUAGUGAAAAAUUUGAAGGAAAAAAAAUCGAUUUAUAGUUUAGUGUUUGGUAUUAAUAGUAAUUUCGUAUUUUUCUAUUUCAUAAAUUCUAUCUUUAUAUAUAAAAAAUUUAGUGUUAUUAAUAAGAUUUUCAGGUAAAUAUUAAUUUAUAUGUUUAAAUACAAAUGUGCUUGAGCAUGUAAAACAAGAAGUUUUUGGUUUAUUCACGCAACACCUAUUUUUUUUUUAUGUGGCUUGCAACCCAUUAAUCUAUAUCCAGUGGCGGAUGUAGAACUACUAUUAAUCGGGGGCACAAAAUUCUAAUCAACUCAUUUAAAAUAAAAAAAAAUGUUUCAUUACUAAAAACAAUUCCUUACAAAAUUAUCUUAGGAUAUUUCAUAUUUUGGAUAUCCAUUUAUUAUUUUUCUAUUUCCAGGAUCACUAGAUAAAUUUUUUAAAUCAUUUCUAGAGUUUUUUUUUUUUGAGAUGACAAAUCAUCUUUAGAGUUUUCAGACGUAAAUGCAAAAAAAAAAAAAUUUAGGCUUGAAAUAUUUUCCAUUAAAAUUUUCUAUGAAAAAAAAUUUAGUACAUUACUAUAGUUUCUACGUUCUCAUAAUUUCUUAUUACUUAAAUCACAUAAAUCAAAAUUUCAUUUAGUUUUACGGUUAAACUUUUACCUUUUAGUUUCUCUCUUGAACUCGUUAAUCUUUUUGUCUGCGGUGUUUAAAUUUUUGUGAUUAGGGAGAAGAUAUAGAAAAACGUGGGUGUAGUUAGUUCUGGGUGUAGUGUAAUUAAGUAGAUUUCAACUUCAUUAUUAUUUCCUUUAGCUUUUGAUUGAACUUUUUAAAACUGAACUUAUAUUUAUUUUGGGCUACAAUAGAUUUAUGUCAUAUAAUAAUGUGUUAUAGAUUGUUUAAGCUGAAAAUAUAAAGCUUUGUUUCUUAACCAAUUAUUACAUAACUAUAUUUAAUUAAUAUACAUAUAAUUAUUUUUUUUAAAUAGUGGGGGGCACGUGCCCCCGUAGUCACCUAUGUACAUCCGCCCCUGUCUAUAUCUUAUGCAAUGAACAAGUGACGUGAAAUUAUAUUUUUCAAGUCUAGAUCAAAUCCCACAGUUUCAAAUGAAUAUUUAUUGUCUACGAAGAAAAAUGUAACUUUGAUAACAUGGACGUGUUCAAAUAAAAAAAAAAGAUAACGGGGAGUCAGGGGACUAUACGUAGGUACAAUUUCACCCUCUGCAUUUCUUAUUGGUACAAGAUGGAGAAAAUAAAGACUCCUAAACGUUUAACUAUCAAAAAUUAUAAUGAAUUUAAGAUCGCGGGAGAUUUUUUGUCGACGAACAUGCUAACUCCAAAGUCCAAACUCACUUGAUCUUGUUAACCAAAAGAUCAAUUAACCUUGCUUUCUUUUGCUAAAAUUUUGUGAACAUCAAUUAGUCUUUGCCAUACGAAACAAAAACAAAAUUUCUCAUUAUUUUUUUAUCAUAGAUGAUUAAAACGAUUAUGUGAGGUCGUUCUCUUUAGAGUAAUUGACAACUACUUGAGAAAAGCGAUGGCUUAAAUUUUGGAAAAAUACGAAACCAGUUAACCAGGACCUGCACAAAAAAGGUAGGACCAAACUUCAUUUCAAUUUCUUUAAUUAUUAAUUAUUUUUAGUAUCUUCUUGAAACAGAUUCGAAAAAGAAAGCCAAAUAUAAAUAAAUAUUUGUUCAGCAAGUGAUUAAGACUUCAUAGUGCAUAUGAAUUAUCAGAAACGUCGUAGUGAUUUCUAAAUAAGCAAAUUCUUUAUCAAAGAACUUUAUGCAAGUUUUACUUUAAAUAAAUUAGUGGGCGUAAAGACCUAGUAGUUUGAACUAAAUUUUUUACAUCGUCUGAAAAAUAUUUUUUGAAUAUCUAUAUAUAUAUAUAUAUAUGUGUGUGUGUGUGUGUGUGUGUGUGUGUGUGUGAAAACAAAUUUUGAAAUGGAUAAAUUAAUUUUAUGAACUUUUUAUUUUAAAACUAGUUGAUGAUAAAUAAAUUAUUUAUAUUUUACAUAUAGUUCAAAAUCAUAUCUUAUUCUGUGUGGGGAAUGUUCUUCACUACAAAUAUUUCUAAAUUUAUAAAUUCAAUGAACAUUUUCCAGUUACAUUUCACAUUACCGGUAUUUAAUAGUGAUAAUAUAUUUUGUAUUAGAAGGAAGAUAAAUUUGAACAGCAUUAGAAAAUACAAAUAAAACUAUUUAUUUAAUUUUAAGUUAAAACAAUUUAAUAUGAUAUAACAAUCAAAACAAGUGAGUUCAUCCGAUCUGAAGAUUCAAUUCGAAACUUGUUUGAUCAAUCUUACUUGGUAUGUAUUAGACAAUGGAAUUAAUCUGACUUAUGUAAUAAGAAUUCAGUUGAUAUUAAUUAGUAUUUCGAAAGAAUUACUAUAUUAUAAGUCGGUGAAAAAUAUCUAACAUGGGAAGUAAAAUGAAAUAUUAGUGACAUAUAAGAUAGAUAAGCAAAUUUAUUCAUUACAAAUUAUAUUUGGAUACAAAUAUUAUAAAACUUAAGUUACAAAAAGAUCAUAAAACUUAACAAAUAAUGAAAAUAUAAUUAUUAUUUCCUGACUAAGAUAAAAUAUAAUAACUUAAUAAGUAGAUAUAAUAAAAAGAAAGAUGUAUAUAUGUAAGCAUCAUCUUAUAAAUGCGAAUAGAAAGGUCUGCGGCGGAUGGAAAUAUAUUAAAAUUUUUAUGAAAAUUGACAUUACUUCAUCUCCAUCCCACUUUUUGCUCACCGUCUUCUUUCGGAACAUACAUUUGGUGUUUCAUUUUCACCCAUAUGAUGUUUACUUUCGCCACCUUUGCUUCUUGAUUUCCAUCUCUUAUUUAUUUCCAGGCAGCUUCGUAACUUCCAUCAUGUAUUCGAUUUUGUUUUCCAAAAGCUUUAGCCAGAAAGAUAAUGAUUAAUAAAGUUAAGGAGAAGGAAAUAAUAGUGGAAGAUAUAAAAUCAAAUACGAUGUCAAAAGAGGUGGGACGGGGAAAUCUUCAUCGAUGAAUGGUGGGUCUCCCAAAUCUUACACUUGACUUGUUGCUUUUUUAAUUUUGAUUUCCUCACAAAUCUCUCUCUUCGGAGGAUUAUUCAUGAGCAGUAUCUGUGAAGAAUAUGCAUAACCACAACAUUAAAUGAUUUAUUUAACCGUCAACAUAUAUAUGCUACUUUCUAACAUAACACAACGUAGUAUUUUUCCUAGUAUGAUACUUUAGUAUUUUACUUGGGUUAUGACAAUGCGAUCGACUUAUAGCAAACACGAUUUGUAUUGCCAGUAUAGUACGUAAUAAACAGUCAAAUUAAACUGUUAGGUAUUGACUACUAUGACACAGGAAAGGUUUCUAAAAAUUUGUUUGUAAUAAAUAAAAUUAGAGAGAUUUGUUAAAUUUCAUAUCUCAGUAAUAUUAGAUUUUAACGAAAAUAUUAUAAAAUCAAUGAUUAGUUAGCAUUUUUUAGAGACAAGAAAUUUGGAUGCAGUUACAAUAUUAAAUCCAUAACACAGAAGUUCAAUAAAAAUACAAAAAAAAAUUUACAAACAAGGAUGUAACGCUAAAAUCAAGUCGACAAACAUACAUAUAACUCUUGAUCAUAUAUGUUUUGAGUUAAUAAGUAACAUAAAGAAUUCAAAUAGAAAUAUGGAGUAUUAUAUAAAAAACAUCAUCACUUCAAACAUUAAUAACUACAAUUUUCCGUAUUUAAAAAUCAUAUUUUAGACCUGUUUUGUGAUUAAAAAUUAAGUUUUAAAUUUUAUUAAUGUAUUUUAUUUUAAAAUAUAAAUAUAUUUUAAAAUGUAAAAAUAUGAAUUUUAAAAUAGUUAUAAAAAGUAAAUCAACAAAUAAAUAUAAAUUGAUAAUUUUGAAAAUAUGUUUAAUUUAUUUAGCUUUUUAACAAUACGAGUAAAUAGGAUAUGCCGGCAUUUAAUGUAUUGUUUUGAUUGAGUUCUUCGUUACAUGAAAGUGUGUUGGUUAUGAAAAUGUAUGAGAAAUUUUUGGCAAUGACGUUGACAAGUUUGCCAGAGAAUUCGGUGUUUUAAAUAGGGAUUGUUUUUUGGUGUUAAAUGAUUAUUUAAACGUCAGAUACAAAAUAAUUUUAUCUUUUUACUUCUGUUCAUAAAAUCCAAAGACGAUGUAACUUAUACAGUUAUACUCAAUAAGACAGGUUUCACGUGUAGUGCCCAUAGACCACAACUCAAAUACAUUUUUUUCGUGUUAUACUAAUAUAUCACCGAUCAGAAGAAAAAAAAAACUUAAUUAAUACGGAAACUGGAAAAUUCUAGUACAAUUAUUGAUCAACAUUUUAUAAUGAUGAAGAGAAUGCGUCGUUGAACUGACCUAGUAAUGUGAAAGAUGGAAUUGAAUCAACAUUAUUAUAUUGGUAAUGAUAUGCUCCACAAUUAUAAAUAUGCGAUAUUAGCACCAACCAUUUGGAUAAGCCAUACGCCAAAUUUGCAUGAGACCGAAACACUUGGAAUUUGUAAACCAAAGCUAAGAAUGAUAGAUGCUGAUUGAAAAGGUAUCUCAUCUUCUAAAAUGAUCCAAUAUAUUUUAAAAAACAAAUAAAAUUAAUUUUCUUAUAAAUAAAAUAACACAAGUACCCAUCACAGGUGUUUUUUUUUUUGAGAAAAAGAGAAAAAAGAGAGAGACGGCAUGUGAGAUGGGCCAGACGCUCUGAUCCGACUGGCAUGAAUGGCCUUUCGUGCGUGCGUUCUUAUCUCUUCAACUUUUUUUGUUAUGUUCAUACUGUUACUAACGAAAGAUUCAUAACUGUUGUAAUUCUUGUAAAAAAAAAAACUGAAUUUGAACCCCUUUUUUCUACAUCAACUGAUUUUGAACUUCAAGUAAAGCAAAAGUAAAUUGAAUAUUAUUCUCGUAUAGCAGCUAAAAAAGAUGUCAAGUGAUGUUGAUCAUAGACUCCUAGUAGUUGAGUUAGAGUGGUUAAAUUUUUGAAAUCUUAGCCGAAGUUAAGAGUUUGAAUUAUUUUGGAAAAGGAGUUUAAAACUCACGACUUAUAAAUCUGCAUUAUUAAUUUUUUUCACCAUAUAGAAAAUUUUAAAUAGCAAAAUAUCUACAUAUUUUGAAGGUUGGUGUGGAUUUCGUCCCAUGAUCUAGCAUGGUUAUAAGCUACUAUUAAACCAAAAAAAAUGGUUAUAAGCUACUAAAACUAUAAUGAUCAAUAUAAACUAUCUCAUUUGACUAGAUAAAUAUUUAGCUCUUCGUUCCAUACAAUCCAGUGAAACUCGCGAUAGGCUCCUAUCACCUUAUUAGUUAAACUCUUGACGAUUGUGUUAUGACUCGAGUCUUCAAGAAUCUUCAGUAAAUAUUGCACUAGUAUCUCAAGUAAAGUCAACUUCGUCCUGCAGAAGAUAAUAUACUAUUGAUUUUAAGAGCCUGCAAGCCCUGUAUGCUUAAAUGCCUGAUAUGUGGGAGAUAAAAUAUCUUAUGGAUUUACGUGUACAUGUAUAUAUACACAGUGACGCACGUGUGUGGGCGGGAGCAAAUGGUGAAUGCGUGUAGCGAUGGAACACCGCAAGUACUCUGAAAGCGACCAAUAGAAAAGCACCACUGUUUUAGUAUAUAAUGUCAUGUCCCAUCUCCAUCCAACUCAUGUAUAUACGUUUGAUCUAACGGCUGUAAUUGGUACCUUGAUUUCAUAACCUAUCAUCGUACACCGCUCCCUUCCUCUUAACUUUUCUUUCUACCUAGGGACAACCCUACACUGUGCUCUUUUUUUUCCCCUCCCCUAUCUCUAAUCCCGUUUUCCAUUUUUUAAUAGAAUUUAAAAUCUUUUUCAAUCUCCUUUUUAUUUCAAUAAUGUAGUAAAAACAUAAUUUUGCCCUCUCCAUAUGCUAUUCAUACAACUAAUACCAUCUCCCACGGUUUACUCAAAUUUUCACUCUAAAAUAAAAUAACUAUAGUAAUAGAGUUUGAGCUUGAUCUAAUAAUAUUCUAUUUUAAAGUAAAAGAUAGAGUGAUAAACAAAAAAAAAAUUAUUUUAUAUUUGAAAUAAACAUAUUUUCACUUUAUUAUAGAGUGAGAAAUAUAGUAUCAUUAGAACAUUUUAACUCUAAACUUUAUUUUAAAGUGAAAAUAGAGUAAAAUUGGAAAUAUCCUAAUACAUAUAUCAUUGAAGGAAAAAUGUAGAAAAGGAAACCCUAAAAGCGCGUCCUGCCAUUUUUAUCAGGUGAUUUCUCUGUCAACCUUACGUAUUGCUAUUCUUUCAUAUAUAAAUAAAUAUAUAUAUUCAUAACUCGCACACUUCCAUUUCACAUCACACAAUCAAAUAAUGAGGCAAAAGAAUACACCCAAUGAAAUGAAGGAGCACUUAAUUUAUGACGUACUCGCGCGCGCCACAACUAAUAACUAAUGAUAAUAACUAAGAUCUUCUUUUUUUUUUUGGAAAGGGUUUAAUAACUAAGAUCUUAGUUUAUAUUAUACACAAAUAUAAGCUUACCUAUAGAUGUUGGCAAAACAAUUUAUAUGUGGUCAUAUAGAACACUGAAACAUAUUGCUCUUUACACAGUUACAUUAUAUCUAUAUAUUUUAUUUUCUAUGUAAGUAACUAUGGCUGUUUUCUUUUCUUUUUCACUUCUUAAAAAAAACUUUUUAAUUUUUACUAAUGUCCAAGCCAAAGAAUACGGGAAAAGAGUACGUAUGUACUCCCUCUGUUCCCGAAAGAAGGAUUUUCUAGAGUAUUCGCGCAUAUAAAGAAAAUAAUUAAUUUUUUACAAUUGAAUUUAUUAUUUAUUUUACUAUACAUUUUCCAAUAAAUAUCAAACAAUAGUAUUCAACCAAUUCAAAUAUUUUCAAUUAAUGUUACUUAAAAGUAUACAACUUUUCAACAUUAACUACUAAAAGUACCUUAAACUCUUAGAAAAUCUAUUAUUUUGGAACAAAAAAUAAAUCUAAAAAAUCAUACUUUCAAGAAUCUUCUAAAUAAGCUUUAAAUGCCUUUAAUAUGGAUAUGAAAUAUAUACAUGUAUUAGUAGAGUGCUCAACAACAUGCUAUUAUGGAUUUCUAUCCUCCUCAUUUUCAUAUUUUCUUUCUGCCCAUGUCUAUUUAUAGAAGAAAAAAUGAUGAGAAAGUCGUGGAUCAAGUUUUUAGUAGUUGGAUAGAAUCAAUCUUAAAUCUACGAUCAUAAGUGACAAAAAAAAGUGACGAACCACGACAUGUUUUCAGGGAAUGUGAUGUGGUAUAUAUUUAUCAGUUAGCUUUGGCGUCGCUAGAUAAAUUUUUCUUGGUUACAGAGUUUAGAUCCGUCGCAAGAUCGUCAACGUUCUACAAAAUAAUUUGAUCAAUAAAUUAUUUUCCUAAUACAGUUUUGCUGACACCCGAAAAAUGAUUUUUUAAUAACCGAAAUAAUCAUCAAAGAACACAUUAUAUGAUAGAAAUAAUAAUCGUGACGUGAGGAAUUAACACUAAAUAUAUCUAAUCUAAUAUAAGAUACAGGAUCAUGUAUGUGUACUUAAAAUAUGCGACUGUAGUACAACGUAGUUGAUCAAUUAUCAUACACAGAGACGAGGUUGGAUGUAAGCUUAUGAUUAAAAAAAUUAAGAAAAUGAAAGUACAAUACUAGUAUAAUAUAGUUCUCAAGAAAGAAAAAAAAUACUAGAAUGUAGUUUAGGUACAUGGACGAUGCAACGAAGUUUCGAAGUCGGGAGGACACGAGCCCCCAACUGUAAUAAAAUCAGAAGUAAGGGGUAAAGUAGUAAUAUUCGUGUCCUUUGAGAAGAACAAGUUGCUUUAAAAAUGUUAAGCAAGAGCAUAAAAGACCCGCUCCGUCCGGGUACGGGUCAAAACAGCCAUUGUCGUUCUUCCUUACUUCUCAUUCAAAUAAGAGAGAGAGAGAGGAGAGAAGUUGCUUUUGAGCAGAGAAUAUAAUAAUAAUAGCAGAAGAAAGCUCCGCCACGUCGCCGCCACUUUUCUUUACCGGAGAAACCUUCCUAAACAAAAUUAAAAACAAAAAAAAAACAGUCUCUUUCUUUCUUUCUUUGUCUGAUUAUUAUUCCUUGUGUACACAUGUUGUGUAACAGUUGAGCAGUUGCAUGCCCAUCACUUUCUUUCUCAUUUCCUGAUCACAGUCCUGGGAUCUCGAUUUCUCGUAAGCUUAUAACGAAACCAAAAGCACAGCUUAAAAGAAGAAGAUCUAUUUGUACAAGGCUGAAACGACACCUUCUCCUGUCGUUUUAUUGAUAGCUCGAGAUCUGUGUUUCUUUCUUGGCUUCUGAGCUUUUGGCGGUGGUGGGUUUUCUAAGAAAAAAAAAAAAUCAAGUUGGGGGUCUUUUAUUUAUAGACACUAUUCUAAUGGGAGUUAACAGUGGGGUUACUGGAUAAAUUAACAAGUAAUGAAGGAGUUGAAGAUUCAGAGAAGCGGCUUUGAAGUCGGCCAGCUUAUUUGGCUAGAAAAAUCAAGACUUGGUUGAUGUGUGUUCUGUUCUGUCAGGAUAAGAAGGAGAAGAACUCUGUUUUUUUUUUGUCUAAGUGUUUUUGGAUUUGUGAAAAAAGAUUUGGUUGGUGAAUGAGUGGGGAGGUGGAGGGAAACAGUUAAAGAAAGUUAAUACUUUUUUGGUCUCUCCUAAGUCAUAAUUACAUUUUGGCAUCUUGGAUCUUUGAAGAAACAAAGUUUGAAAAAUUUGUUUUUAUUGUUUGCUUUUUAAGUUAUAUAUAAAAAUAAGAAGAUGAGAUUGUCUUCAGCUGGGUUUAAUCCUCAUCCUCAUCCUCAUGAAGGUAUUAUUACUUUCUCUCUCUAUUGCUUAAUACUUGCAAAUGUAGAAACUUUGUUUUUUUUUGUGUGGGAGAUUUUAACUAACUUGUGUGUGUGUUUUGUUGAAAAUAAAGUUACAGGAGAGAAGAGAGUUCUUAAUUCUGAGCUCUGGCAUGCUUGUGCUGGUCCUCUUGUCUCACUACCUCCUCUUGGAAGCAGAGUUGUUUAUUUCCCUCAAGGUCACAGUGAACAGGUUUGUGUCUCCUUCCCUUAUGCUGUUUUGGUUAUAGAUUACUCAAACAUCUACAAAUAUUUUGUGUACUUUCAGGUCGCUGCUUCAACCAAUAAAGAAGUGGAUGCCCAUACACCAAACUAUCCCAGCUUGCAACCACAGCUUAUCUGUCAGCUUCACAAUGUCACAAUGCAUGUGAGAAAUAUUCUUUUAUGAGAAUAGUGUGUUUAUUCUGUUAUGUGACUUAGUUCAGGACUUUUUUUUUCUUAAAAUUUCAGGCAGAUGUUGAAACUGAUGAAGUCUAUGCACAGAUGACUUUACAGCCGUUGAAUGCGGUAUGAGACUUCUUACAUGUAAUCCACACUUUUUACUUUUUAUGAGGAUUUUGUCGGUGUUAUGAACAGUUUUUCUUGUUUGAAUGCCAGCAAGAGCAAAAAGAUUCUUACCUUGCGGCGGAGUUAGGUGUCCCGAGUAGACAACCUACAAACUAUUUCUGUAAAACUCUGACUGCUAGUGAUACCAGCACUCAUGGAGGUUUCUCUGUGCCUCGCCGAGCUGCUGAGAAAGUUUUCCCUCCCUUGGUAAUUUUCAUUCUACUUACUCUGAAGUUUCUUUUCUUUCGAACUUAGCUAAUGAUUUUUUUUUUUUGUGUUCUUCAGGAUUACACACAGCAGCCUCCAGCUCAAGAGUUGAUGGCAAGAGAUCUGCAUGACAAUGAAUGGAAGUUCAGACAUAUUUUCCGAGGUUAGAUUUCACCCAAUUAAAGUUCAGUUUCCUUAAUUAUAAGUUUAUAACCAAUGUUGAAAAAAAUUGGUCUGAUUUUGUUAAAUCCGAUUUAUGCAACUCAAAUUGGUUUAGGCGGCAAAUCAGUCAUAGCCAAAACGAGUUCUUAAAUUCGAUUGAUUUAUGAAACUCAAAUCGGUUCAAACCGUCAUAAAUUGGUUUAAAUGGAUCUAAAUUAGUUUGAAUCAAUUUAAAUUGAUCUAAAUAUGUUAAAUUAAACAUUUUUGUUAGUGAAAAUCCACAAAUUUGUCUACUUUUUUUUUUUUUUGCAUAUGUAAUUUUAUGAUUCAUUAAAUUAAUUUUGUAAUUAAACCAUAAAACUAAAAUAUUUAAUGUAAACGUAAUAUAUAUAAAAAUUAAUCAAUAAUCUGUUAAUCCGCCUACCGAUUUUUGUAACAUUGGUUAUAAAUAACGAAUAAACAAAGAGAGUUUGUUACUGACUCUGCUUUUGUUUAUCUCCUCUCAGGCCAACCGAAAAGACACCUUCUUACUACUGGUUGGAGCGUAUUUGUGAGUGCUAAAAGGCUUGUCGCUGGUGACUCCGUUCUUUUCAUCUGGUUAGAACCCACUUCUUCAAAUAUCCAUAGUUGUGAAUGGUGGAGCUCAUGUCAUUUUUGUUUUUAUCAUCAGGAACGAUAAGAAUCAGUUACUUCUUGGUAUAAGGCGAGCACACCGGCCACAAACUGUCAUGCCUUCAUCUGUUUUAUCAAGUGACAGUAUGCAUUUAGGCCUUCUUGCCGCAGCAGCUCAUGCAGCCUCCACAAACAGUCGCUUCACCAUCUUCUAUAACCCAAGGGCGAGUCCAUCAGAGUUUGUAAUACCCUUGGCUAAGUACGUGAAAGCGGUUUAUCACACUCGUGUGUCUGUUGGCAUGAGGUUUAGGAUGCUGUUUGAAACCGAAGAAUCAAGUGUUCGUCGGUACAUGGGUACAAUAACUGGCAUUUGUGAUCUAGAUCCUGCUCGGUGGGCUAAUUCUCAUUGGCGGUCCGUUAAGGUUCAUUUCUCUAACCAAAUGUUUGCUUUCUUGUAUACAUAUAUAUAUCAUCAUCUUGAUCAUGGUGCAGGUCGGAUGGGACGAGUCCACUGCAGGAGAUAGGCAACCGAGGGUGUCCUUGUGGGAGAUUGAGCCUUUAACGACAUUCCCUAUGUAUCCAUCUCCUUUUCCUCUCAGGCUUAAACGUCCCUGGCCUUCAGGUCUCCCAUCUUUUCAUGGUAAUUGUUAAUUUCAGAACUUGAUUCAUCCCUUGAAAGUUUGUAUAUAUAUUCUAAUCUUUUAUUUAUAUAUAUACUAGGUAAGUAACCGUGCGAUAUCGCAGGGGACUCAUUUUAUAAAAAUAAAUAUACCAUUUUAUAACUUAGAUUUUUAUCCAAAAACUUCAUAAUUUUACUUUCGAGAAUGUUCUCAUUUCAAAACGUUGAAUGUAUGUGUUUAUAUUCAUUUAUAGAUAAUACUAAAAAUGUAUAUUCUAAUCUUGUCUCCUCUUCUUUUGUUUAUGUAGGUCUUAAAGAAGAUGAUAUGGGUAUGGGUAUGGGUAUGAGUUCACCGCUUAUGUGGGACCGAGGACUUCAGUCUAUGAACUUUCAAGGUAUGGGAGUGAACCCGUGGAUGCAGCCGAGGCUUGAUGCUUCAGGCUUGCUUGGUAUGCAGAAUGAUGCUUACCAAGCAAUGGCUGCAGCUGCACUUCAAGACAUGAGAGGCAUUGAUCCUGCUAAAGCCGCUGCUUCUCUUCUUCAGUUCCAAAGUCCCUCAGGUUUCUCUAUGCAACCUCCUUCCUUAGUGCAGCCGCAGAUGCUGCAGCAGCAACUUUCUCAGCAGCAGCAGCAAGUGGUGGAUAAUCAUAAUCUGUCUGCUUCCAGUGCUGCUAUGUCUCAGUCAAACACGUCUCUACUCCAGUCAAUGACACCUCUUUGUCAUCAACAAAGCUUCUCAGACACCAACGGAGGAAACAAUCCCAUCACUCAACUCCACACUCUCCUCAGUAACUUCCCUCAAGACGAGUCUUCUCAACUGCUCAACCUCACUAGAACAAACUCUGCAAUGACUUCUUCAGGUUGGCCAUCAAAGCGUCCUGCAAUUGAUUCAUCCUUCCAGCACUCUACAGCCGUUAACAACAACCAAUCAGUAAUGGAGCAGUUGGGACAGUCACACACAAGCAACGUUUCUCCAAAUGCUGUCUCGUUGCCUCCAUUCCCCAGUGGUCAAGAAGAGAACCACUCAGACCCUCACAGCCAUCUCCUCUUUGGAGUCAACAUAGAUUCAUCUUCCCUUCUGAUCCCAAACGGAAUGUCAAACCUUAGAAGCAUUGGCAUUGAAGGUGGCGACUCCACCACUCUACCCUUCACAUCAUCAACUUUCAACAACGAGUUCUCUGGUACAAUGACUACACCUUCUAGUUGUAUAGAGGAACCAGGUUUUCUACAGCCCUCAGAGAACCAACAGUCUAAUACCUUUGUGAAGGUAAAUUAAGUGUGUUUCUUGUGUUGCACGUAACUAGUGAUGACCUAAUGGAAAUGUUUUCGCAGGUGUACAAGUCAGGUUCUUUUGGAAGAUCGUUAGAUAUAACGAAGUUCAGCAGCUACAACGAGCUGCGAAGCGAGCUUGCUCGCAUGUUUGGCCUCGAAGGCCAAUUAGAAGAUCCUGUGAGAUCAGGCUGGCAGCUUGUAUUUGUCGACCGAGAGAACGAUGUUCUUCUCCUCGGCGAUGACCCUUGGCCGUAAGUUAAACUUCCCUCACUUGUCUCACAUGGCAUUGUUCCACUGAUCUAACUUUGUGCUUACACCUUCAUCGGGCACAGGGAGUUUGUGAGCAGCGUGUGGUGCAUUAAGAUACUCUCACCACAAGAAGUGCAGCAAAUGGGGAAACGAGGCCUUGAGCUUCUUAACUCCGCUCCAUCUUCCGAUAACGUCGAUAAGGUCCCGAGCAAUGGGAACUGUGAUGACUUUGGGAACCGGUCAGACCCGAGGAGUCUCGGUAAUGGUAUAGCAUCCGUUGGGGGUUCGUUCAACUACUAGAGAAGUAGAAAGUAAAACCCUUUUUCUUGGUGUUCAAGUUAUUAAGUAUUGAUCUUCUUAGUUUAAUUAGUAGCUUUUAAUCUCUCUUUAUUACUUGAGAAGAGAGCUUUGUGUUGAACUUUGUGGAAACAGGAAAAAAAAACUAUAUCUGUCGUAAUACUGUAAUUAUAAGAUCUUUUGGUCUUUUACUGAACUUUUGUUUUUACUGAACUUUUGUUAUGUCAUUUUCGUUGCUCACUACUUCUCCAAUCAACUUGAUGGUUUUGGUCUUUUGGAGCUAUUAAGACUUUUGUCUGAAAGUCACUGGUCCACAUAGAAAUGAGAAAGUGAUUUUUGUGUCCCAGUUCAUUUAUUGGUUUGUGUGAAACACCGAAAUAUUCGGACCCGCUAUUCAGGGCUUUACACUAAAACUAGAUCUCGUUUUGCGUCAGCAGUAACCUUUUUUCUUUUCUUGACACGUAUUGAUCCGUAGUUCGUACUCGUAAUACACUUUUAUUGGUACAUCAAUUAAGAUAUGCCCUAACGUUUAUAGUAUAUGGUAUUGGAGUUUACUGACCAAUCAUCAUCGGGGAUAAGCUAGAGGAUGUUUCUUCCAAGAACAUGUAGCUUCUCCUCUCAUGGCGGAAACCUUAGCGAUUCGAGCAGCUCUCGGACAUGUGGUAUCUUUUAUCCUCAACCACAUCUAGCUUUUGUACAAGCCUUUACCACGAAUUGACGAUCUAUGGAGCUUUUUGGAAUUCUAACAAACAUUCUUUUUUAGUUUUUUUUUCAAGCAUUUUUCAUUUCUAGAAUUUUCAAUGAGCCUGUCUUUGUAACAAAAUUUUCCAAGUGGACAUGGCUUCAUGCUAUAAAGCCCUCUAAAAUUUUAAUAUAAUUCAGUUGCUAAAAAAAUAGUAUAUGGUAUUGAAAACAAAAAAGCAAAAAAACAAACGUAAGACCAAUGUAGGUUUUGUUUUCACCAAACUAUAAGGAAUAUGAAACGAAAUUUGUAGAAUGGUUACAACAUAGAAACGUGAACGUGAUAUCCAGAAAUAUCUGGCAACAUAGAAGAAUUUAUGAUUAGGGUUUGUGUGUGUUUUUUUUUAAACUAUUAGGGUUUGUGUGUUGAUUGGCUAUUUAAGAGAAUAUAGUGAUCGAUUAAUAAAAAAGACAAGUCAAAUAAAUAACAAAUCUGAUAAAGAGAUAUUUGUAAGUAUAUGGUUUGAUUUGUGGUGUAUGAAUGUGAUUCACAUAUAUCUUUAGUGGUGGGACUAUGAAUUCUAAGUAAGAAAAUUGGGAAUUGUUUAAAAUAAUGUUGGGUGCAUGUGAUAGGAAAAUUUAUAGAUGACACAAGUUGGGGCACUUUCAUGAGCCCUAGUUAAACAGUGCAUGGUGACCCAUCAUUUUGAAAGUUCUCAUCUUUUUUUCUUUUUCUUUUUUACCUAUUAAAAUUAGUUUUUUUUUUUUGGUUUUAAAAACAAAAAAAACAUGCAUCAAUCCAUAACUGAUUGUACUUAUUUUAUCAUAUCAACAUAAAUUUGGAAGAAACCAAAGCCGGAAUUCGAUCUUCAAUACAAACUUUUCAAACUCUAAAGGUAUGCAAAAAAUUUCUUUUAAGUUUGCUGCUGAAGACAUUAAUUUCAUAUAGUAGAUAAAUUAGAAAUAAUAAAUGAUACAAGUAAAAAAAAAUCAAAUUUAUUUCAACAGGAGGUUCAGAGAAUCUGUAUCAAUUAGUUGUAUACAUGAUUUUUUUGAACUUUAGUUAUAUACAUGAUUGCUCUGAAAUUUUGUGAAAUAUAGACAAUUUAGUUAAAAGUAAUGUUAUUAAAAAAUUUUUACUUAAAACUGGGAAUUUUAAGUUAAUAUUUUACUUGUCUUUUUAUCAAAACCAAUCCUGAUUGCAUAUAUCUUCUAUUUAUUUUGUUCACUAAGGGGAUGAAUGGUUUUUCCGCUACUACCUGCAAACGCAGUUUUUGCGGUUGGUAACGGUUGUUGGCGUUUUACAACAAUCGCUUAAACCGAUUCAAACCGCUCUAAACCUUAUAAAUUUAAAAGCUGGUUCCAGCUAACGUUUACGGUUGCGGAAGGAUAAAAAAAAACUUUUUUUUCUAAAACAAUAUAAAUACAAAAAUAAAAAUAUUCAAUAAAAAAUUUAAAUUAGAAUUAGAUUUUUUUUUUGACAACAGAUUAGAAUUAGAUAAAUACUAAAAUAUAUCUAUUAUACUUUCAUUAAUAUUAUAAAACUUUAAAAUAAAAAUAUUUUCUAUAAUUUUUAAAAAUUUAAAACUAUACCUUUCUGAAUAUAAUUUUUAUAUGUAUUAUAAUAUUAUUGUUUCUGAUAUUUUAUAAUUAUAUAAAUAUAAAUAUUAUUAAUUUAUUAUUUAACCGUUGCUACAUUUGGUAGUUAACCAGUCAUAGGUAUUCCGCAAAUGCACCAAUUUCUAAUCGCAGAACCAGUCGUACAAAUCUCUUAGAACCGCUAGAAACUGCAACCACCCACAUCCUCUAACUCCCACAACCGCAACCACCCGCAUCCGCUAACUCCCGCAACUGCAAUCACUGCGUUUGAACCAUUCGGGUACUAAGUGAACUAGAAUUAGAUCAUGGUUUGAUUUUAUGUUAAAUGUAUGAGAUAAAGAAGAUUUUGGACCAAAAAAAAAAGAUUUCAGAAAUUGAUAAAUCAAAGUUGAUAAAAGAGCGGUACUACCGUAGUCAAAUUGAAGUAUCAUGAUUCAUGAUACAAUAUUACAAAUGAAUAUAACCAAAAUAAGCUUUUAGCGAUAAGGGUUUUGAGUGGAUAUGUAAGUUGUUACUGUGCGACUAGUUUUUCUCAUUUAUCUUCAUUUGAAACGACGAACAGAAAACGUCAAAUGAGAUAUUAUUGAUGGUCGUCGAAAUACUUUUCUGAGGCAAAGUAAAAAAGGAACUUAUAUAAAGGAAAGAACCAAUCAACCUUCGUUGUUUUUUAUGCCAUGGAGACCUACUAAUUAGUUAAUAUUAUUAUUUUUUUAAUGAAUGUAAAAUUUUAUUCAAUCAAACUUUUUUUUACAUCAAAUGUUUCCAUUGUUGAUUAGAGAAUAUAAUCCAUGAAUUAAACGAAAUAAUCAAUUCUUUUGAACUUCAAAUCUGAGAGGAAUCUUGCAUUCUUGAUCCAAACCACACACAACCCCUCCCCAAGAUUUUCAAUCGCCUUUUCCUUUAACUGGUAACAGUUUCAGGCGAAUAGUUUUGUCCACACAUUUGAUCAGAACCUUCACAUCCCUUGGCUGCUCUCCAUGGCGUCGAGCAUUCCAUUCUCUCCAUAAACUGUGUACCAUAACUUGGAAAGUGUAACGAAGUUUUAACUAAUUAAUUAAUAUUAACGAAUCCGGUUAUCAAGAAUAAUUAGAUGUAAGAAAUGAACUGAUCUAAGUUUACCAAUCUUUUACAUUUAUUUGAUGCUUUAGGGUAACCAAGUUGAAGUCACAAGUUUUAAAUCCUGAUUUUCAUUUAUUUAUAUGAAUAUUUACCAUUCAUCAAAGAAAACACACUCGAGCCCCAAUUAUGAUGAUUGAUCAUUAGGCUAACUGGACCAAAAUUACUCAUGAACUUUCUAACCAUUGGACCCAUAGCUCAAAGCCCAAAUAUAUCAGUGUAGAGGGCCACUAGUGACAGUUGUUUGGUGAGCAAGUAAACAUUAUGUGAACAUGUAACCAUAACGCCAAAACUUUUACUUCCAGUGAUUUAUACGGCCUACAAGUGGUUUCUGUUUAUAUCGGUUCAGGUUUAAAUUGUUCCUUUAGGGCCUUAGGCAAUAGCAACCCCUAACGUAAGACACAAUCUUUGCCAUUCUCUUUUGAACCUAUGCAACAAAAGAUGCAUUCCAUUUAUAUAUUACACAAAGGGAUUUGACUUUGAGAAGCAAAUCCUGAUUAACUCAAAAGACAAAAAGUCAUUCCAAUGCCUCAUGAGAACCAACCACAACAUAUCUUGUAACCUGACGCCGGUAUUCGACCAGUUUCCCUGAUAUAUUUGGCUUCAGCCACUGCCUUCUCGGCAUCACGGGCCUUUCUAGCUUCCGCGGAAGCCCGUUUCUCUUCAGACCUUUGCUUAGCCAUUGCUAUUUUCUUCACUAUCCUUGCUUCAGCUUCAGCCUUCAUCUGCUCAACUUUAGCCUACCCACAAAUGCUUUAUCAGUGACUUUCAUGUAAGUGAUCAAGCAAAAGUAUCCGAAAAACGCCUCACGUACAUACCUCAAUACGUUGCAUUUCUGCUUCGAGUUUGGCUUUCUCCUGACUUUCCCAAGCUUGGAUUCUGAUCUCCUCACGCUUAUACCUAAAGAAAAUUGAGUGUUAAAAAAGAAAUGAAAACAAGUUUUUUAGGUGUUCUACUUCUACUUUAUGUUUCUUCACUGACAAGUUUAAUAUUUGGUUCAUUAGGCUAAGAGAAUACCAGACCUUGCAUUAUGUUUUGAUUUUUCUGCUUCUUCCCAAGCACUCGCUCGUUUAUCAAACUCAAUCCUAUGUGUCUCCUCUGCGUCUACCUUGUUUUUAUUGCUCUCCUCUUCUUCUUUACUUGCCCAAGCCGCAAUGUUCAUCUUCCCUAACCGAACCCCGAGGGUUACUAUCUCUCUUCUCGUCUUCGCUUUCAUUUCCUCCUCAGAUAGUUCUCUUUUUGUGUUUGCUGACGGGUCUUGUGACUCUUCUUGUUGGCCUCCUCUAGGAGUAGAAGGCAGAGAAGAAGUUGGGCUGCGAAGAGGAGUUGUUGCACCAACUGGUGUGACUGAUCUUGAAGGUUCUUGACUCGGUAUUGGCGUCAUAUCAGUUCCCAUAUCUCUCAUACAUACAGAGCGUAUCACAGGACCAGCUUCACACAAAAAAAAAUCAAGCUGAUUCAAUAUUCAAAACUCUACUAAAAAACAAGGGCAAAUCUUCAAACUAGUACAUUUAAAGGUUUAUCCUAAAAAUAGCAUCCAUUGAUAAAAUUUCCUAAAAAUAACACUCGGUCAUUUGAAUGCUAAAUUACUCUUAACUCCUAAACUCUAGUCUCAUCUCCACCCAUAAAUACAAAACCAUAAACCCUAAUCACAAAACCUUAAACUCAAAUAGAAAAUAUAUAUUUGCUAUUUUUUAUUUUUUAGAGAUGCUAUUUUUUUACUUUUAAAUGAUGCUAUUUUUCUAAAUCCGCUUAUAUGAUAAAUUUGUCACAAAAUAUGAUUUAAUGAUAUGUGAGGGCAUUUUUCAAAAAAAAAAUAAUAAUAAUUAAUCACCAUUUUUACCUGGUGUUUCGUCACGUGAUGACUCCUUUGUUGUGUCCAAAAGAUCAUUGCUUUGUGUUGAUUGUUCGAUCAACAAGUUUCCUCCAUACCCUUGAGUUAGAAUUGGAUGUGGCACCGUGGGAACAUACCUAGGGAACUUCUCGAACCCAUCAGUUUGUAUCCUAGAUUUGUUAUACUCACAACCUGUAUUAUCGGUAAUAACUCUAACAGGCAUCCGGUUCCCUUGACCGUUCUUCCUCAUCACCAUGUUCUGUCUGCUCAUUAUCCACUUCUCAGCAUCAUUCCACUUGGAUGGCAUCUGUCUCGAAGGGUAUGCUCUUGAGACAUGAUUCUGAUUGGAACGCUCUCCACGAACACCACCGUGAAACUCGAAGCUUGAAGAGCUGGCGUUACUGUCGUAAUCAAGACUUUCAUCUUCUUGUGGCCUCAGAGCCAUACUCAAGUCAGUCUUUUUCAGUUGCUGAGGUUUCGGUUGAUUGGUUUCUCUCGUAAGACCUUCAGACCCAUGUCUCGAGGCUUGAGUGUCGCUUAGGUCCAAAACUGGCAGUUUAGCUACUCGUAUGUCCGUUGUUGAAGCCGCCACUAACAAGAACAGAGCAAAAGAGACAAACUUUAGCCAAGAGCAAAUCAAUGACAAACUCUAGCCAAGUUAAAUCGAUUUAAUUGUAACAUGGAGCAGAGAGAUAAAUCAAGAACAGAGCAAAAAGAGAAAGCUUAAGCCAAGAACAGAGCAAAGACAGAGACUUUGACCGAGAACAGAGCAAAUACAGAGACUUUAGCCAAGAACAGAGCAAACACAGAGACUUUAGCCAAGAACAGAGCAAAGACAGAGACUUCAGCCGAGAACAGAGCAAAGACGGAGACUUCAGCCGAGAACAGAGCAAAUAUAGAGACUUUAGCCAAGAACAGAGCAAAUACAGAGACUUUAGCCAAGAACAGAGCAAAUACAGAGACUUUAGUCAAGAACAGAGCAAAUAGACUUUAGCCAAGUGCAGAGCUAAGAGUAGACAGAGACUUUAGCCAAGAACAGAGCAAAAACAGAGAAGUUAGCGAUUCUAAGACAUAUUGAGAGACUAAAGACGAGAGACAAAACCAUUAUCAUCGUCGUAUGAAUCAGAAUUAGAAGCUAGCAAGCUGUUCUUGGAUAAUUCAGUGCCGUCCGAAACCUGAAGACGAACAGGAGAUGUUCUUGAAGAGUUAUUGUUAGAUCCUUCUCUCUUUUUGUUAUUGUGCGAACCCAUUAGCUUCAUUCUCAGCUUAGUCGGCGAGAGUAUGCUCUUCUGCAAGAUAUAAACCAAAACUUGUUUGCGUUUUUCAUGGCUUCAAUAGUUUAAAGGACGAACAAAUAAACCUUUUUCAGAGAAAGCAAAACUGUUUGAUUGAAGGGAGGAGAAAAAAGGAUGAAAAUUAACAGUAAACACAGAUUUAAUAAAGAAAAAGUUCAUAUCUUCCUCCCAAAAAUUCUUCAACAGAGGAAACUCACUGUAACGUAAUGGAUGUUGUACUUGAAAGAGAGAGAGAGAGAGAUGAGUUAAUUACCUGCUUCACCUUCUCAAUCCUCUCGUACUCCAUGGCCAAUGCCAAGUCUUCUCUAUCUGUUGAUGUAUAUAUAUUUCUACAGAUUAUAUAUAUGAAUGAGGUUGAAGUAAGACAAGACCAGACCAGCUUUGUCUCGCUAAUCCUCUCUCUCCUCUCGAGAAGAAGAUGAGAGACAAAUGGAUGUUUUGUAGCUGCUUUAGACCAUGAUUAUCGGCAAUCCUUAAUGGGUUUCUUAGUGCUUUAAUGACAUUUAAUUAAAUCAAAAUAAAGGAAAAGAUACAUUAUCGAUCCUUAAUGGGUGACUUUUGUGACCGAUUAUUAGAGAGUUUUUCAACCCACGUGUCACCAUUUUAGGCAAAAUAUAUUUUUUUGUUCUAUUUUCUUUUCACCAAAAUCAUUUUUUCUUCUUCUUCAUCUCUGUUUCCCCUUCGUGUUCUCCGUCACGACUGAGAAAGGAUCGAAACCGAUCCUUUACCACCAACGAUUCUCCACCACCGAUCCUCCGUCUUCGCUCUCGUCUUCUCCUCUUCUCCGUGACAGAGGAAGCAUGGAAACCCACAGAUAAGUGAUGUUUCAGUUUCUCUUCUUCGCAAGCAAAACCAAAGCAGUUCGGUUCUGUUUUUGCUCUUGACGUAAUCUACUGAUUUUGCAUUAAUACUGAAUCAAUCUCUCUCGUUUUAUCAUCUCGUUUCCAAGGUAAGAAGAAAAGAAAAGUUUUUUGUUAGUUUUGCAUUCUGACUUGGAUCAACGAUCUUUUAGCUUUUACUCUUUAUGUGUUUACUGGUUAGAUAUGUGUAUACUUUGUUUUAAUGAUCGUUUUCAAUUCAACAGGACGCCAAGGAACAUCUUUCUGUAUUGGCUUCGUCUCUACCAGACAUAAUGGUAACAAACUAACUCUUUUGUAGUCAUGUUCUUUAAGUUCAUCUCGAGAGGGAAGUGUGAGUCUUUUAAGUGAUGUUUUAGUCUUCUUGUGUUGAUAAUUUUAACAGGGUUGAGGUCGACAGUCAAUCCUCUCUAUGUUUAAUUUCAUGUUCAUGUAUGUUUCAAGUUUAUGUUAUAUUAUGUGAUCUGUUCUGUUAGCUGUUCUGUUUUAUUAAAAAGUUAUGUGAUCUUUCUGUUUUAUUAAAAAGUUGUUAGCUGUUUGUGUUUGCUGUUUCUGUUAGCUGCUCUGUUUAAUGUAUGUUUCAAGUUUACUAUGUGAGCUUUCUGUUUUAUUAAAAAGUUAUAUGUGAAAUGUUAAGUGAAAUUUAUAUUUGUUUCUGUGCAGUUACGAGACAAAGAAGUCACAAGACUUGGUCUCGGUUAUGCGAGCAAGAGAGGUCACGAGAUGGUGUCGUUACUCAAGAGAAGUCAUGAGAGUUGAUGUCGGAUUAGCUAGAGAGGUCACAGGAGUUGUUGUUGGAUUUGCAAGAGAGGUCAUGAGAUGGUGGUGUAUAUGCGUGCCUGAGAUGGUUUUGUCACGAUAUGGUUUUGUAUGUGUUGUACGUUUUGACAUGAGAUGGUUUUGUAUAAAGAAGACAAAGAGUGUUUGUGUUUUUUGUGUCACGAGAUGGUGUUUGUCAAACUCAUUGUAUCAAGUCAUCAAAACUCAUAUCUCUCUUGCUCUAUAUAAGUUAUCAAAACUCAUAUCAAGUCAUCAAAACUCAUAUCAAGUCAUCAAAAUUCAUAUCUCUCUUUUUCUAAUCUCCUUGAUCACCACAAACCCUUUCUACAAAACGCAAAACACAAACCGUACCCCUUCUACAAACCCUUUUUACAAAACACAAACCCUUUCUACAAAACACAAACCCUUUUUAAAACAGUCUCGAUUAAGAAUAUAAAAUCUAUGGCUUCUUCUUCUCGUAACACUUUUGAGGGAGUAGAUGAUGAAACUUUUGAUAAUUAUUUUGAUCAAUAUUUUGAAACAAUGGAGAAUUUGGCCAUUAAUUAUGGUGAUCAAGAAGUCGAAAGAAAUAAAAGAAAAAACCGAGUUCAUAUCGAAAGAAAGCGUGAAGAAGACGAGGGAAACAACUACUGAGCUCUGAUGUUUUUCCAAAUUAUUCUCGAUUAUUGUACUAGUCUUUAUUUUUAUGUUUUUUUCAAAAAAAAAAUCUAUGUUUUAAAUGUUAUUUUUUAAUAUGUUUGAAUUAAUAAAUAAAUUUUAUCUUUUAAAAAAAUUAAAAAAAAAUUUCUUAAGAACCCCUAAUUAAGAAACUUCCAUUGGACCGCUCCAAAUGGGAGUUUCUUAACUAUGAUUCUUAACUCCACUUAAGUACAAUUAAAAUAUUAAAUAAUUACUAAGAAACACACUUAAGGAUCAAGGGAUAAACAUGCUCUUAUCUUUAUUAGAGUUUUUGGGAAUUUUUAGAUAAUGAUUGAACAAAGAGGGAUUUUCUUUUUGUAUUUUUUGUCCGUUGUCAAGAAAGUGCAUAUGCAUUAAUUGAAUAGUAAUUCAAUGACUAGCGCCUAAAAUAUUUAAUAGACUACGUAGAUUACUAAUAUACUAAUUUUAUAAUGCACUAUACUAAACAGUAUAUUUAUAAAUAAUAAAAUAAAUAAAAAUAUUUUCAUGAAAUUUUAAAAAGUGAUAUAUUAGUUUUGAUUUAUAAAUAAUUAUUUAUUAUUUUAUUAUUAUACUUUUUAUUUCAAAAUAGUUGAUAUGCACAAAAAUUAAAAUAUAUUUUUUUUAUAUUGAAACAUUAUUAAAUGGUUUUCAUUAUUGAAACAUUAAAACUCUUCAAAACGUCAUUUAUUUUAUAAGGGAAGAAGUCAUUUUUAUAUGGUUUAGAAGAUUAUUACAAUGGUUUAAGGUGUUUUAGUUUUUUUUUUUUUGAUCAAUUGGUGUCUUAGUAUUUAGAAUCGUUUAAGUGGUUGUAUAGAACUCUUUUAAAAAUACUGAUUUUUAUAUAUAUCUGGAAUCGAUCUUGCUUUUUUUGUAUUUGCGUAAUGAAUAUUUUUUAUUUCCAUAUAGAACUAAUAAACUCAGAAAAACUUCAAUUUAUUUGUAUUGAGCAAUACUGAAAAAUAGAAUAAAAACAAAUAUAUGGUGGAGUCAUAAAGUAAAAAUGAUGUAUAGAGUUGGCAUUGUACAUAACAACAGUAUUUCAUCUGAGUAAAAAAAUCAUUGCAAUGAUUAUGAUUUUUGAGUGAAGUUCCUGUGGCAAUGAUUUUGCUUUUAGAGAUGUUAAAAGAAAAAUGUUUUGAUUUUUAGAUACAAAAUUAACAAAAUAUAAUAUACCUGAAAUACUACAUGCCAAAAAGAAAAUUUAAGAUACUAGUUUAAUUUGUUUACCUGAUAUCUGAAAAGUCUAUAAGUACAUUUGUGAAAAUCGAUUUUUUAUUUACGUCUUUCGAAUCUCGACACUCGCCAUAAUGAAUUUAAUUAGUUUGAUAAUUUUUCAUCCAAAAAAGGUUCAUAAAAAAACAAAAUAUAAUGAAAGGUAAAUGACAUUCUUUUUGUUAACUGGUAAACAGUAUAUAGACUACAUCUCAUGUAUUUUAUCGACCUAGUAAUUAUGAUAGUGGCAAAAAAAUAGAGAAACUUUAUUUUGUUUUGUUUAAAGAAGAAACCGAAGAAGUGAAGGUGUGUAGAUUAGCAAUGCAAAUGUAAAUCAGUACUGAAACGUAAGCAAUCGAACUGACACUUUCUCCACUUUAGGGCAUUACGUUUCUCUGUCACUUUGACCGUUGACUAGCUCUCUUCUUCUUCGUUCUCUUAAAUUUGUAUUUAAUAGUAUUACUGUACAUAUUUUCAUCAUGGAAAAUCUUCAUUUAUGGAUAAAAGUUCCAAUUAUACAUGUAACCAGAAUCAAAAUUUUCCGUUGACUACGUCUCUCAUACUACAUUUAACUUAGAUUCAAAAUUCAAUUGUAUCUAAAAGUUUUACCACGAAAACAAAAUUAUAUAACAUGUUUUAGCAACGUAAAUUCGAGGAGGAUCUGUACCCUACAGAGCAUGCCAAUGCCACAACUCAUUAUAUAUUAAUUUCGUUUUGGCAUGGCAGGUCCGGAGCAUAUGCAAAGAAAUUGACCGUUUAGGGCACGCCAAUUUCAAAUGAAAAUUUUAGUUGUAUAUAAAGUACAAAAUAACAAGGUCACAAAAUUUAAAUUGAGUAUAAAGCAUUAAAAAAUUUUGAAAAUGUUGGACCGGCCCUGCGUUUCACGUGAACAAUCUAUUAAAGGCUUGACCUAUGUGGAAUGGAGUAUAAACAAUCUGUGAACUUUAAUUAGAACUUUAGGUACAUUAUAGUUUUUAUCGGCUUAUAAAAUUCAUAACAUGCGAAUGAUAUAAACAAUUGGCGAGGGUGCACGUAUUGUGAGGCUCAAGCUCAGCUAGAUUCCCAUAGACUAACCUUGUUUUCCUCAAAAGAUAUCUUUUUUAAUUAGUAUUUUCUCAAUGACAUGCUUUUACACAGAAAAUAUAUUAGUGUACAUUUUUCUCACAGCGGAAAGCAAAACAUAUGAGUUUGUAAGAUAAACAAAAUUAACUUAUGUUUUCUUGUUUUGUUUAACGUGUGAUAUUACAUGCCUAUGGGAUGAUCCAUACUAAUACUCAAAUGGAAGUAAAGUCCACGAACAAACCAUCUCUUCGGAUAUAUAAAUAAACUUUAAUCAAUAGAUUUAUAUCUACGUAACCACACGAUGAAGUGUAGUAGAAUAUCUUCAAACUCAGUUAAUAAAAGUUUUUUUUUUUUUUUGAACAUUUUCUUCAGUUAAUAAAAGUUCGUCUACCACUAAACCACAAUGGUGUGAUUAAGAUUAAUUUAAGUUUUUUUUUAGGUCUAUAAUAUUAGUAAGUACGAGACUAAGAUGUAACACAUUUAAUCAUUUACUCAUGUGACUGUGCUAUAGAUUUAGUGUCAUUACAAAUGCAAAAGAACAUUACACUAAUUUAUAAUAUAAUCGUAACUUUAUAAUAUGUUUUUGUGAUAGUUAUUUGGUUCUUGGUUUUAAUAAUAUGUUUCAGCGUUGGGUCUUUUUUUGUCCUCAGUUUUAGUUGGUUUAGGAGUCGGACCAUCCCGGUCUAGAUAGGACCGAUUUUGUGGUUUAGUUUAUUUCUUUUUAUAUAAUUUUUUCAGUGGUCUCUUAUAAAAAAAAAUAGAAAUUUAAAUAUGAAAACUUUUAAAGGAAAAUAAAUAUAUAUAUAUAUGGUUCUUGGCUCUAGUUGAUGACAAACUUGAGCCAUAUGGUUGAUUUUUGUCGUUUGUCUAUGUAUGAAUUUCAGAGAAAAUGAUACUGGUUGGACUGUGGAGAUUUUUUUGCCUAAUUUACACGCAUCCAACAUUCUUUUCUACAUUCAUAAAUAGAAGAUUAUUUUCUUCUCACAAACAGUGACAUGAACAUUUAGAUAUAUUGUUCCAUACAUAUCAUCAACGUUGAUGUGAUCGUGAUGUACAUACUAGUCGCUAAUUUAUUUGAUUUUCUGAAUUGAAUAAAUAACGAAAAGCUUGUAGCCAUUUUUUUGGUCAACAGCGAAAAUAUUUGUACUCACUAAAAGAAAGUUCAAACAAACAUAUAUAAACGUAAAUGUCGAUACUUUCAUAAUGGCCUUGUUGAACUUGUGCGCCAAUGUGGUCGGUGUACGAGAUAAGCCGUCAAAGAAGCCACUAGUUAAAUUUCCUCGCACACUUUAUGACAUUUUUUCCAUUUCACAUUGCUAAUAUUAUUUAAUCAAAUAAUUUAGAACGUUUAUCUAAUUUGCAAAGGUUCAAACCCAUGAGUUUGACUACCAGAGUUGAAAACAGAUGUGGAGACACAAACCAUUCCCCACCAGUGGGUCCAUGAAGUUACUACCCAAAAAGAUAUUGCUUAAUUAGGUAGUUGGUGGAACCUAGAUUAGCUUUCUGUUGUGAGGAUUAGAUGUAGGCCAAAGCUUGUAAGCACGAAGGAAACUCAUUGAAGGUUGUGUGAUAUAUCAUUUUGUUUGCUUUCUAAAGUCAAAAAUGAAAAGAUUAUGAAGACUAAAUGAUUUUGGUCUCCAUACCUAUAGAUCAGACACUUUUCUGUGUUUCUAUGAAGUGGAAUCGUCGUACUACCUUGAGUUUCUCUUAUAAUUUAAUGUAGUAAUCAGGAAUUUCAUAUCUUUAUAAAGAGUCCAAUAUGGAGUGUGGAGAAAGGGUUUGAAUCUUAAGAAGCUGAUACAUGUUUUCCAUAUUCAAACUAGUUUGACAUGUCUUAACGGUCCCGUGAUCUCGUACGCUUAAUAUGACUUUGUCCCUGAGAGUGACCUGUGAAAUAUUCGUGCCUUAUUCCUUGAUCUUCGGACAUGAACUUUCAAUCAUUUUUUUUUUUUGGUAACACUUUCAAUCAUGUUUCAUACAGUCAAAUAAAUAACCAGUUUUGGACUUCCACAGAAGUUAAGUAGCUGUGCUAAUCUUUUCUGCAGUUUUCUAUUUAGAGAUAUGAUUGAUGAAUCAAAACAUUUCAAGCAUAAAGUAAUUUUAAGAUGAACUGUUUUCUUUUUUGACCAAAAAAAAAAAAAAAAAAAAAAAAGAUGAACUGUUUUCUUUCUUUAGUUAUUAUUUUAACAGGUAUAUCUGAAACAAAAUCAUCAAAAGAUAAUAAUCAAGGUUUGAAUCCUAAACUAUAACUUAACGAAUACACAAAAAAAAAUCCCAACUUAAGAUAACAAAACAAAAAUCGUUUAGUGAUAAUCUUGAUAUGAAGCUUUCUCUGUAUCGUAAGACAAGAAGACCCACACAAGCAUCCUCAUCUUCUAACUUAGAUGGUCAGCCUUGAGAGAUUUAAUGAACACAGAGGUGAAUCAAAUGCAAAAAAAAACUUAAUUCUCUAAAUGAGAAGGCCGAGUAAUGUUUUUUUACCUCUUCAUAGAUCAAUAGGGACUCUCAAGCCAUCAUGCGCAAGUUUUACUGAAAUCCCUUCCCUAACAAAACCAAAAAAAAAUUGCAACAAAUACAAUAAGAUAAAUCCUCUCUUCUGUGUAUGGUUUCUUCAGAUAGAUGAUGGUGUAAUUGAGAGUUCUCUACCUUUUAGACCAUUCCUCAAGAAACUCGUUGUCUUUGUGGUGAUCAAACUCGUGAGUCAUUCCGAUUAAAAGAGCCCUUUUCGGACCCAGUCUUUUGAUUGUCUCUAGUGUCUACAUAAAACAAAAGUAAGCAUACAUAGACAUAUGAAAAGAAAAAGAAAAAAAAACACCUUCAAAUUAAGCUAACCUGCGGGAAACACAAAUGGGUGUUGUGGGAUCCUGUCUGCAGGCAAAAUAAAAGAAAGAUGGAGAAAGAGUGUGGAAACAUCAGCAUACAGUAUUCAUAAAAUGUUUGAUCAUUAAGCCUAAGGAUGAUCUGUGUCACCUUAUAUAGUGUAUCCAAGAUAAGGAGAUCCAACUGUCCGCCCCCAGAUUUCGAUAUAACUGUAUAAUCCAAAACCAACAGAGUCUGAGAUAUCUUGUUUCAGAAUAUCAAAACACACACGCGCUAAGCAAUUUGUUACACCUACCAUACUCAGUGCUUGGAAGAAAGCGUGAGACAUCAGAUAUAUACGCCACUCUGGAUUUUUCUCCAAAAAGGAAACCAAGACAAACAUAGUCUUCUCCAUGCAUCACCUACAACAUAAAUAAGAUUUUUGAGUCUCUUCUCCACACAGAUUAGCAAGAAGACAUGAUUCACUACUUCUACAGAAGCUUUGAAAAAACUUACUGGAAGUGGCGUGAAUGAUAAUCCUGAAGCAACAAAAGGCUUCUCACAAUCUUCCUCUAUCACUCUCCAAUCCAGCUGUGCCACUCGCCUAACUUCUUGUCCUUCUUUAAGUUUCUUCUGAACCAAAUACGGGAACUUCACAGCAAGGCUGUUUUCACAAAAGAAGCAUGCGAUAGUUGAAACUAGAGCUUCAAAGUCUCGACAAGAUCAUAAAGAUACUGUUUUUACUACCUGUCCAUAGCAUAUUGGCUAACAAAAAUAGGAGUAGGAUCUAUAUCAUUGGUGGGACUAAACGGCUGCACGGAACGUAUAUCAUCCAGGCCAAGUACCGCAUCAGCAUGCUCAUGUGUCAAAAUGAUCUGCAGUACAUAGCAAACAUUACUUUUACGAAAACCUCAAAAGUUACGAUCAAAGACUUAGACUUUGGUUAAAGAUUAACUUACAGAAUCAACUUGAGGAAUGUUGUGAAGAGUGAACCAACGAAGGACUUGUUCCCUGAACGUCUUGCCAACGUCGAUUUGAAUGUAGUUAUGAUUGCCAUCACUUGAGCAAUAAUCAAUGAGCAGUGAAGUGUUUCCCCUGCCAACAAAGAAGAACGAGAUCUCUAGAAGUCAGAAGAGUAUCUCAAAGUCUCUAAAGGAAACAGCUAGGCAAUAGCUGCUAUAACGAUGGAUCGAAGCGCCCACACACAAUCUUAAAGCCUUCAUCAUAUGAUUCAACUCGUUCAUGGAACAAAGUAUAAUACAAUAGAGCUUACGACUAACUGAAUGUGCUACACAGAUCAAAGGAACAUCGGAGCUCGGAUUAAAGAUGACAAAUCCGAAUCUCGAAUCUAACGAAGAUCGCAUUGUAAAUCAACGGAGUGUAUGUACCUGUAGUUAGGGUUUCUCUCGGGAGGGAUCGAAAGAGACUGAGAGCAGACGUGGCAGGGAGAAUCGGACUUCUGGAUCAAGCACAUUGCGUUAGGGACCGCGCUCGAGCAUCCCGUUCCCAGGAAUAUCAGAGCCGAUCCAUCGCCAUCGGAGCCGUUCUCUGCCGGAAUCGAACCGUCUUCCAUCAUCGGAGAUAUACGAGUGUCGCCGUACGUAUAAAUCUGGAAUAUUCCGGCCAAGGAGGAACCUCGAGUAAGUAAAAACUGUUUAACAGAACGAAGCGAGGAGGAAAAAAAAAAUACAUAUAAUAGCUUUUUAUAAUUAAAUAAGUAAAUAGACAAACAAACUGAUUAUUUUAAAAAAAACACAAAUUAGUUGAAAAGGUGAAAAAAAGAGAGAGCUCAGGAUGCGGCAAUAUCAUCUCAAUAUAGAUGUGUGCGAAGGACCCAACCAACGCUAAGCGUCUAAGCGAAUGUCUUCAUAGCUCUCUGAAUGCACCAGCCGGGAAUCGAACCCGGGUCUGUACCGUGGCAGGGUACUAUUCUACCACUAGACCACUGGUGCUUCGUUGAACAUACUUAUUUAACAUAUAUUACGUUCAAACAAGUUAAAGACUCGAGUAGUGAUAAGUAUUAUUAUAACAAACGGAAACACAAAGAUUGGACAAAAUCAAGUUUCUUCUUGACUUGUAUCUUACUUUAUAGCAAGACUUGAAACUUCACAGCUCAUACAAUGCUCAGCAUGCCUCACUGUGUAUUGACCACUUUUGAUUAUUCUUAAUAAUUUCAUUAUGGAAUUUGGUGUUUUGUUGUUUGCUGCCUUCACGAUUAGAUUGCAGUAAAAGGUGCAAUUAGGUACGAAUUAUUGGUGCAAUUGAGAAAGGCGUGACUGUAACACCAAAAGUUUAGGAUACUCACUUUCUCUGAAGGUAUAUGCAAGUUAUAAUAUCAAUUAUGAGAAGAAAAAGUAAUUCUGCUGGGACAUACAGGAUUCAAUGGCUAGAAAUAGAAUCUAUGAGGCUUAUCCUUGAUGGGGUAUUGUAUCUUAGUCGUCGCUAUAUCAUUAAAGGUAUCCAUUAUUUUUCGGUGUUCAGGUAUAGUGAAGCUGAUAGCUCGCUUGUUGUUGCAUUGGAGCUCUCUGUUAUUGUUACUUUCACGAAUCUCUUGUGAAAUAUGAGUUUUGGUGAUGUGAUUUGCUGUUUUGAUGGUAAUGCUUAAAUGGUAUGUCCCGGUUUAUGACAACGAUUAUAACUGUUGUUGUCUUUAUAUGGAAGACUUUUCUACUGGAGUCUACGUUGUGUUUAUGAUACUGGACUUAGCAGUAAACCAUGCUGGAGCUUUAGCUGGUAAGAGGUUACUUGUGGAUGCCGACAAUGCGAGAACUGUUCAAUCUCUUUUGUUACUGUGCAAUGUACGGUUAUAAGUACUAAAAGAUGCUAAGUUCUUUGGCUUCUUAUGUAAGUUCUUUUGCAAACGGGUUAAGUAAAAAUGAUUAACCUCUAUGGCUAAGCAAUAGAAUCCUUCUGUUGGUUUUUUUUAAUUAGAAUCUUCCUUUUUCACAAUGCAAAUGUGUGUUUUGCAUGAUUCAGGAUAUUCUGGGUUGGUUUCAAUGGUUAUAGCCAUUCAUUCUUUGUGCUUGAAACAUAAUUUGUCUUGGCAGGUUUUUUGUUUGGUACAAUUCAUAGAUAUAUUCAUUUUUAUAAGCAUGAACUUGUUGGUACAGUGUUUGAGGCUUCAAGCAAAAAGUUUUUGAUGGAAUAUAAUGUUUAUGCAACUGUGAAGACGUGACAGUAACACCAAAAGUUUCUUUUACAUUUAAGAUGUGCUUACUUUCCGUGAAUGUAUGCAAAUUAUAAUAUCACUUAUGAAAAGAAAAAGGAAAUCUUUUGGGACAAAGAGUGAAAGAGGAUUCAGUGGCUAGAAUAGAUAGAUUAUAUGAGAAUGUGAGGCUUAAACUUGAUGGGGUGCAUAUCUUACACAUUGCAACAUCAUUAAAGGUAUUUCCAUUACCUGGGUAUAGUGAAGUUGAUAGCUUUCUUGUUUUGUUUUUUUUUUGCUAAAUUGAUAGCUUUCUUAUUGCAAUAGCUCUCCGUUUAUUGCAUAUUUGUAAUCUUGUUUAUUAUGGUUUUCUGUACUGGCGCGUAAUUAAUUUAUUGUGAUAUUGAAUGUACUGUACUUAUCUCGUGAUAAUGCAUGCAUCUUUGGCAGAUUCUGAUAAUAAGCCAAAGCUGGAAACUGUUCCUGGAAAAGUAAAAGUAAAGAAGACACCUUCCUCAGCUACUGCUUUUGAUGUAGGACUUUACACUAUUCUGCAAACAAAAGAUCAUGUCUGCUCUUCUUGUCCAGUUUGACGGUUUUCAACUGUUGCCUUCUGUUGGAACUUAGUAACUUACUGAGCUAUUCCCAAUUCGGCAUGUUGCUGUUUGUUUUUCCAUGUUAAGGUUGAGAGAACCCUUAUGAAAGAUCGUUUCUUGCUUUGCCAUCCUCUGUUACCAUAUAAACCCAUACACAAUAAUGCUUAAAGGAAAGUGUUGCUUUCAAGAAAUUUCUUGUGAAAUAGUCUUUUUGGAAAAUAUGUUUGGUGAUGUGAUUUGUUGUUUUGUUUGUAACGCUUAAAUGGUAUGGUCCCUACUCCCUAGUUUUAAUUUGUUGUUGUCUUUUAGUGGAAUUUUCUACCUUGGAUUUAUGAUAUUUACAUCAACACUUACCAGUAAAUGCUACUGGAGCUUUAGGGGUUACUUGUGGAUGCCAAUAGAGCGAGAACUGUUCAAUAUCUUAACAUUACUGUACAGUGUUUUCUGUGGUCAGUUGGCUGAUACAAUUACACUUUACAGCAAAAAUAGUUUGUAGAAACUCGAAGGCUCUUUAUGGCCAUCAUCUAGUAAGUUCUUUGGCAUCUUAUGUAUCGAGAACAUACCCUCAAAAGAGUUGGCAGAGGGUUACAAAGGAUUAACCUUUAUGGCUAAACAAUAGAAUCCUGCAGUUAAAAUUUUGUUCGAUCGUUUUUAAAUGCCAUGUGUGUUUAUCAUAUGUGAUCUAGGUUAAAAUUUAACUGUACAUUGUUUUGUCUGCGUAUGGUUACAAUCGCUUACCUCGUCGGCUUAUUACUUUGUCCUGGGAUGUAUCAAAAGAAAUUCCAUUGGUCAUGGCCAUCCAUUCUUUGUGCUUGACCUAGACUGUGUGUCUUUGAUGAUUUUGUGCUUGGUAUUAUUCAAAGGAACUUAAUGCUUUUAGUUUGCUGAAUCAUCUCCCAUGUUCUGUUACUAUUGUGUUUGUCUUCCAGUUUUCAGUAAGAUCAUUGCCUCUGCACUGUCACAUUCUUGUGGAAAUUUAUCAAAUCUAUUCAUUUCAAAUAUAUACUGCAUGGCUCUACUAGUAAUAUGUAUUUCAUGUCUUCCAGGUAACUUUACAUGUAUAUGAUGAGUCUCAUUAGUAUGCAUUGAACUCAUUUUUAUAAGUUAUCACCAUUUAAGAAUUUUUUUUAAGGGAAAUGGUAGACCACUCAGAUUUUCAACCUUUAUUAAAGGUGAUUUGAUAUUUAAACUGAUAUUUGAUAAUUUAGAGGUAACACUUUGAAACAUAGCAUCACAGCUCACACACAUGCUUGAAACAGCUAAAGAUUAAUUGAUUUUUUUAGAUCAUUGGACAUUCUUUAGUUUAUCUCUUUCAUUUUGUUUUUAAUUGAUAUAAAAUGAUCUAAGCUCGAAUCUUAAGGGAGCAAAUCUUAUAGCAAUGAAUAUUUUUUGUAACAUAUUUUAUUAUAUUGUAUUGAAAUAUUGUUAAAAUAACUAAAGUUGUCCCCUUUCAAGACCACCUGAUCUGCAAAUUUACCUGUAAUGUUCCUAUACCAUGGUCUGAAUCUGAUACGUGUUCUAAACUAAAUCAAGGCUUGUUCUAAUUUCUUUUUGUUCUUUACCUAAUUAUUAUUUCCAAAAAUAUAUAAUAAUCACCACAUAAUAUUUACCUAGUUAUUAUUUCCCAAAAUGCAAAAAAAAAAAAAAAUUGCUUACAAAUAAAGUAAAAUAAGAAGUGGGUACCACUUAUAUAAAAUCUAACAAUACUAAAAGUAGAAUAAGUUCAAAGGAGAGGCUGUCCACGUCUGCAAAAAAAUCAACCAAUCAUAACAGGUUAAUUUGCCAUGUCAUACGUUUCAGUCCAAAAACGGGUUUUUAAUUUGGGCUGUGUUUGCAUUUAUUAAAUAGCCCAAUACAAGCCCAUCUCACCUUAGAUGUCUGAAGCGUAAAGUUUUGUUCUACCUCGACCAUUUCUCUUUGCUUUCACGAUCAAAUUCUCAGCACUCGCCGUUACCAAAACCAACUCUUCAUCAAAAUAUUAUGCUGUUUAAUUCUUCUUUAAUGGUUUCGUUCCACCUCCCCCUCUUUCUCCUUCUAUACAAAGCACUCUAUAUCAUCUUCAUUCCAACCCUAAUCGAAACUCUGUAGAAACAACUAUCCACCGCCUUGAAAUCACUAGAAAGUCUGCCUUCUCCACCGGAAAAACUCAUAUAGCUGUUUCUCUCUCCAAUUGAAAAUGACAGGCUCAGAGAGUGACGAUUAGGACCAUCUCCGAGAAGGAGGAGUGAAGAAUCUAUUCCUCCGUGAGGGCAGACAGUACGAGAAGCAAUGUUAAAGGCGACAAAAAAAAAGAUUUUGAUCCAACUUCUUUUGGUAUGUCGUUUACUGUUUCAUUUGAUCAAAUUUCAAUUAAGUUUCAAGUUUUGUGUUAGAUGUGUGAUUUCGGGUUUUCAAACUAUCUCCAAAUAAGAUGAAAUCAACCCUUCUACACAAAAGUUAAGCGGCUACACUAUGGUUUAUAAAGUUUUCUGAUUUUGGCAUUGGCCUUUUUAAUUAUGUCGUCAGUUUACAAGUUGUCUACUAUUUUUUAUCUCUCAGUUUUCAAGAUAGUUUAUUUAGAUGGAUAUGGACCUCCAUCUAGACGUUUCCAACCAAACACGCGAGGAAAGGUGAGUGACGAAGAGCUUACUUACUUAGAGAAACAUUUAUCAAGCUUUACAAUUUCAUUUCAUCCUUGAUAAGUUGCAUACCUAUUUUUCAGCUAUAUUCCUCACCACUUUGUGUUUCUUCUCUAUAGCUAAGCUUCAGGAGAGUUGUGCAUAAGCAUCUUGAAGAAUUCAUGAGAGAGUGAGGUAAGUUGCUUAGACGAGUUCGUUUCACAAAAAUCAAACAGUUCGGGAGUAGGUUUACAGAUUGAGAAGAGAUAAGAUCAUGAAAUGGUUCUCAUGAUUUGUACAAGUUGCAAUAUUUGUGUUCAAAUUUUCUGCCUUUUUCUUUCACCUAUCUUUGUUCUCUUUACUUUGGUAUUAACUCAGCUAUGAUUUCUUCUGCAUUUGGCUUGAGGUUUUCUUCCUCCAGCUCCUAACAUUCUUUUCCUUUUUUCUUAAUCUGUAAAGGGAGGAACAAUGGACGCUUAAGGUGUUUCACACCCGUCCCAAACCACUUGACUUCACAACGCACAGUCCCAUUUUUUUGUACGAUCAGUACAAUCUGACUACUGGAUGCUUAAGGUGUUUCAGAGGCUGCCGGUAUAUACUUUCACAUAAUACUUUUGUAUUUUUUUUCUGAGCUAUAAACCACACAUGUCUCUAGAGAGUUACUUAGUCUUUAGAAAUGCUAAAGUCUCGAAGGCAAACAGCUUACAAAGGGACCUAUUCUUUUUUUUUUCCUUUCUUUCAGAGGAGACCUUAAGUGAAUAAGAUGACAUCUAUCAAAGAUAUCAAAUUUCUUGACAUUAAAACGUAAGAAAUGUCUCUGUUCUGACUAUACAACAAACAUGGAAUCAUUCUUUCGCAUUGGUUCAGAAUUUGAUUGUUAUAGUAUUACUUAUAUGUUUUAUUUUUUCACUCUUUCUUUACCAGGAGCAUUUAGAUCAGAUAAGAUCCAAUGUUACAUAUGGAAGCUUAGAAAUGUUUCCAUGAGCAGAUCGAGGUAAUGAUUUCACCUACAUAGCUGCUAAAAUUAAAAUUUGUCUGCUUUCUAACCAAAGAGAGUAUUAGUCCUAUAAUUUGAUGUUGUUUAAUUUAUAUGACCCAGAUACAAUGGUCCUUGCAAUUACUGUUUGAAAAACAGGGCAGUGCCUACAGAUGAUGUUUGAGAAACAACUAAAGUUACAAGAGACCAGGACCCCUUCCUCAAUCUCAUCACCAAAGCAAUGCAAUGGCACAUUUGCCGCAUCCAAAUUUGGUUUCAAAACACAAACUGUGAACCAAACUGAAUCUGCUUUGGUAUCAAAGAAAGCAAGUCCAUUCAACUUUUUUUUUUUUCAAUUCGAGUACAAUUAAUGAAAUAUUUUAUCUUGGAAAAAUAAAGAUACAUAUAUAUAUAUAUAUAAGAGAAUACAACAAAAGAGCCAAUGCAUUAGAUGUGUGUAUACUUAUAAGUGAUAUAGAUCUCAAAAGUUAAGAAUGUGUUGUACAACAAAAGCUGAAGCUGUUGCUCUGCACGUCCUACUGGGCGGAGAUUCUGAUGAUUCAUCUCGAGUCAUGCUUGGUGAAGAAAAGGGUUUCAAUAUUGAUCUGUUUAGAGGUCAAUGAAUAAACUCCGCCAAAGUUGCGCUAGCUAUGCGGUUCAAGGAUUUUGGACUGUGUUCAACGGUUAUGGACUAAGAGAUAGUAAAUGGUCGCCAUUCAUGAAGGAAUCUUGGGAUAAGAACUUGGGAAUAUCAGCUGAUCUGAUUGUUGCUCAGGCUGUCCAUCACUACAUAUUUCUGAAAAUACUGACAGAAAUGCCUCUCUGCUCAAUAGAAGUUCUCUGGAUGACAAAAAUGUUGCUUAUUCCUGUGUGAGAUUGCUGUUUUUUUUUCUCUAAUGCUACAUGUUCAUAUUUGUAUAGCAGCUAUUUUCUUAAUGUAACAUUGAACGAAUGAUGCUGAGACUUGCUUGGUUACUUGCCAUUAACAUGUUGAAGAUAUCCCUUAACAAAAUCACAAAAGAGAGAGAGAUAUGGGUUCCAAUGGUGGGAUACAAAGUAAUGGAUGCAUAUGAAUAGCUUUUGGACCGGGUGGAUAUACAAUCAACCAAAUGAAUGCAUUAUGGUGGAUUACGGUUGCUACUGAGUACUGACACUAGAAUCUUACAGCAACUACUCAUGACAUGAAAAGUAUAAAACAAAGCAAACACAAACACAUCAACCCAAAAUAUAGGAGUAUAAAAGAAAAAACAUGACUUCAAAUAUAACACAUGCAUAUAUUGUAUCCUCUUUGCAGGAUCAAUGUCCACGAAAGAGAUGUGGUAGCAAAGAAAAGAAACAAGAGAGAUAUUGUUGAGUUUGAAAACAACGAAAUUAUGCAUGAGUGUACAAGAAAUUUGAUCUUUAUCAUACGGAUUUCGGAGAAACUUAAAACAACGAAUUUACCUUUCAAUUCUGAAGAGACUUAACGGUUUUAUAACCAAAAAAUAAUACAUACAUCCAAGAGCUUCUAACAACAUCAGUUAUCAUGCCAUCAUUUUUAGCGGCAUCAAGUCAUAUAGAUUCUAAGUAAGAACUUGAUUGUUAGUAAAAAAAUUCAAUAACUAAAUUAAAAACAAAGGUUGAUCAUUUGUUCAACAAUUUUUUUCAUGAGAAUCCAUAAUAUAUAAGAUAAAAUAAUAUUUGGAUUUAUAUGUCCACAAUAUAUAUGCAUAUAUAUAUAUAUAUAUUAGAUACAAAUAUAUUUGUCCAGAACCCGGGCGUAGCCCGGAAAAAAACCUAGUGAUGAUUUAAUGAUCUGUCCAUUCGAGGACAUCAGAUGAUUAAAAAGAAAUUAACUAUCGUUUUUAUAAUUAACUGGUAUUAAUGAUAUAAGCAUGUGUUGGAAAGUAAGAAGAGUGUGGCUUUUUGGUAGGAAAGAAAGUUUAUUGACAUCAAAUUAUAGCGUGCAUUGUCCCCUCCAAAUGGUAUAUACGUAUAUGUCAUUCGUGCACCCACUUCUCUUCAAUAUCAUAAUAAUCAUAUUUUUAAUAAAUACUCUUUUCUCUAACAUAUUUGGAAUGUCUAUAGGAAUAGAGGAUUAUCAAUUUAAAAUGCUUACAUUUAAAAGUUUUCGGUGUAAUUACUAUCUCACUUAUUUAAAAUAAAUAUGUCUAGAAUGAUAAUUUCUAGACCCAAAGACUUUGGGAUCAAUUCACACCAAGGUUAUAAAAAAAUUGAUAAUUUCAAAUGCUUCCAUAUAAAAGCUCUCGGUUUAAUUACCUUCACUUGUUUACAUAAAUAUGAUGAUUACCUAAAUUAUAAGCAUGAUAUUUUAUUGGAAAACUUUUAUUGUUUCUAAAACAACAUAUAACUAUAUACAUUUUUCAGUUGUACAUCUAUAUGAACAUAAUUUUUUUUGUCAAAUAUUAAAAACAUAAUAAAAUUGAAUUAUAUAUUAUUUUUGGAUAUAAUUAUAUUUCUUUAUUAAAAGUUAACAAUUAUUUAAUAAUCAUAAUUAAUAGCUCACUAUUUAUUUUUAUUAACUAAUAAAAGCAUAUAUAUAUAUAUAUAAGGAAUUGCUUGAUAUGAUCAGUAUUAAGAAUAUAUGCUCUUCGAAAACAUAGAAAACAUAAAAUAUAUUUUUAAAUAAAUAAAACAUCUAUAUUUUGAAUGAAUGGAAUAUAUUUAUAUUUAUUAAUCUAUAAACAUUCAACGCAAAUUAUCGAGAAACAUCUCGAUCUACGUGAAUAAUUUGGCAAUGAACAGACGAAACACAUUAUACUGGAAUCAGUAGGUAGGGUGACCGUGACGUAGGGUCCAAGUUAAUAUUUUAUUAUGUAAAUUAUUGAAAUAACAGUUUAAGCUUAACAAAUGAAAUUUGUUUUUGGUUUUACACUCCACUAGGACCACUAUCACCCAAAAAAUAACUGAAAAUUUUAAAUUAUGAAAUUAUACAGCUAAACAAAAGGGAAACCAUUAAAUCAUGUCUUUCGGGGUAGGGACUCCAACUCUCCAAGUGGCAAUGGCUUAUACUCCAUUCCAUUAAUUAAUGACCACAAAAAAUCAGAAUCAAAAUUUUAUUUUACAUACAUGAUUUACAUAUUUGCUUCUAUUCAUAAUAUGUUAACAUAAUAUUACUUGUACAACAGUAUAAGUACAAAACAUUUAUCUAUAUUAUUAUUUGUGAAAUGGUUUUUCGCAUCCGAGCUCUUGUUUUAAAAGUUAAAGUCGUUGCUACCCUUAACAAAAUUAUUAUACUUAUUUAUUAUUUUGUUGAUCAUAAUUAUAGUAAAAAAAUUGAAAAAAAAAUACAUGAGACAAUAAUGUUUUGUUUGAUAUAACUAAGGGUGUUUGAUAUUAUCCAACAAUAAUCAUCACCUACUUUUAUUUUAUAAACAAAAAUAAAGAACAAAAAGAUAAGUUCAUAUAUAUAUUUAUCAACUUAACAAAAAUAGUAUUAUUAUCUCAAUUUCCUAUUUUCAAUUUUUUCUAAAUUAUCAUCUACCUUUAUUUAUUUAUUUUGAAUUUUUGAAAUUUUUGUUUGUAGUUUUAUAUAUAUUGAUGGUUUAAGUAAUUCACAGAGAUAAUAACAGUUAAAAAGAUGAAGGUUAACUUUUUACUUUACUUAUUGCAUGUUUGAUAUGUGACUCACAGUUUUACAUAUUUUAAUAAUUUUUGAAAAGACAAAAAUGUAACAGGAAAAGUAAGAAAAUGUUAUAAAAAGAAAAAUGAUUAAAAACAUAAAAUAAAUAAUUAUGAUAACAAUCUUUGUUUAAAUAUAUAUAUAUAUAUAUAAGUAUCUGUAAAAUUAUUAUGUCUGCAUGCGCCGACGAAACAAUUAAUAUAUAUAUGUUAGUAAUUUUAAACAAAUAAUAUCUCAAAUUGUUACUAAGAAAGAAAGGAUAAGAGGAAUAAUAAUUUAAUAAGACCUUUUGAAAUAUAACCAAACUAAAACGUUUUAUUUGCUUUACCUAUUUACAUAUAUAUAUAUAUAUAUAUAUAUAUAUAUAUAUAUAUAUAUAUAUAUAUAUAUAUAUGAAGUGUCUUGAGUAUAUCCUUUAAAAAUAUUAAAAAAACAUUAUUUUAACACACAAUCGGCUUUUUUCUUGAUAAAAUUAUCCAGUAAUCUAAAUGUAAGUUUUUAAUAAAAAUAAAAGUAGUUUUUUUUGUGGGCACGAGCAUGGGCGGAUCCAAAAAUAUUUUUAAUCGGGGACACUGUAUUUGAAACAACAACAAUAAAAUUUGGUGGGGGCAUUUUUUAUAGUUUUUUUGGAGUGAAUUGGCUCAAAACUCAAAAAGAAUGAUGAAAUUAGCAAAAUAUCAAUGAUAAGAUAUAUUUUGUAUCUAUCAACGAAGGCACUAUGGUGUGAAAUUUAGAGUAUUGAUUUAAUUAGCGGAAAAGUUGUGUAUAUAGGAUACAAUUUCACUUUUUUCACUGAACUUAUAAUAUCUGAUAAUUUAACUUAAACUACUAAAGAAAAGAGUAAAAAUCAGUAGGGUGCAUGUGAUCCGGUAUCGAUGUACACGUCUUUUUCUGGGCACGAAAAAUCUGUUAGAUUAAAAAUCUCCAAUAUAGUAUUUAUUUUUUCUUUUAAAAUAAAAUAAUUUUAUAAUAGAGAUAAGUUUUAUUUCAACUUUAUUCUAAGUGUUUUAAAAAAAUAUUCUAAAUGAAAAAUAGAGUUAACCAUACCAAAAAAACAAUCUUAUGUUUGAAUGAAUUAAAUUCUUGAAAGACAAAGAGAAAACAUUAUAUCUAUCAUACGUUUAUAGAAUGAAAUUUUACUAAUAUUUUAACCUGUGGAUUUUCGAGUUCGUAGAUUAACUUGUAAAAAAAAAACACAUAGAGGGUUUUUUUUUUUGCAGAAAACCCAUGAAUCAAGUAUGUGUAUAUACAAUUUUAUCCUACAUUUAAUAUGUCAGACUACAUUAAGGGUGUGACUGGUGAACAAUAGAAUGAAGAGGAACACUAUGUUCCUUAGACCAUCUCCAAUGGCUUAUUCUAUUUUAAAGUAAAAAAUAGAGUAACUCUAUAAUAGAGUUUAAAUUUGCUCAAAUGGUACUCUAUUUUAGAGUAAAAAAUAGAGUGAUGAACAAAAAAAAAAAAUUACUCUAUAUUUGGAGUAAACCUAUUUUUCACUCAAUUAGAGUGAGAAAUAGAGUAUCAUUGGAGCAUUUUUUACUCUAAACUCUAUUUUAGAGUGAAAAAUAGAAUGAGAUUGGAGAUGCUCUUAAUAUUCCUUAAACAUUUUACCAUUCAUGAGGAAUAAGUUUCCUUUUAAUUCCUUUAUUUGUAUAUAAUUAUACCAUUCACGUAGGAAUAAGUUUAACCUUCUAGUGUAACUAAAAUCUUCUCAGACAGAAAAUAAAAAAUUUCUCAGACAGGGAAAAAAAGAGUUGAAAACGAAUCAAAUCCAAAAUGAAAAUAUUUUUUCCCGUUGCCUACUAUAUAUACGUUUACGUUUGUGUACACAACACACACAUAUUCUCUCUUCACUUCCACAGUCUCUUAAGAAGUUCGACUGACCGGAGAAAGAAGACGUCACCGGCGAAAUGGACGAAUCGUGGCGUAAGAAGAUGGGUUUAAACGUUGAUCCAUUCUUCUCCGUCGCUCGACGAUCCAUGGACGCUCGAAUCGACGCGGAAGACUUCGCCGACGUCUUCGGCGGUCCGCCGCGUAGCUUCCUCGCCCGAAAAUUCUCCGGCGACUUCUCCCGUUCCGACUGUUUCUACGACGAGGUUUUCCUGCCCCCGGGAAUUUCCUCCGGCGGCACGCUUCCGUCUUCUAAAUCUCACGGCAGAAACUUAACGGCGUUUAGGAUCCCCUCCGGCGCAGAUGGAUUUUACGACGGCGUCUUCGGCGGUCGCGGUGGGGCGGCUAAGAAGCAAAGCCCGACGGCGAAGUCGAACUCCUCGUCGGUGCUCACGUCCGAGGAGGUCAGUCCUCACUAUCCGCCACCGGCGGCGACGUCCGGCGAUGACGCGGGGUUUUCUUCUUUUACUUCUAGACUCAGGUAGAUAAAAUUACUAUUCUACCCUCCACUUCUGUUUAGUUUCUGAGGAUAGCUCCGUAAUUUCGACAUGCUCUGUUUUUUCUUUGUUAGACCGUUAAACGUCCCGUCGAGAAAGCGGGAAUCUAAGAAACAGAGUUUCCCGGCGUUUCCAACAUCCGGAGAUUCGUUCUCCGGCCACGAAAGAUCAGACUUUUACUACAGAAAACCACACUUCAGCGGAUCGAGAAGAUCCUCGCCGGAGACCAUGAGCUUUGAUCCUAGCUCCUUCAGGAGAAUUGAUGAUUUCGGACCGAGCUCUCCGGCGUCUUCCCCUGUUUCUUCUUUCGUCUACGAAGAAGAAAACACUGAGAGGAAAGGAGACUGUAACGUCGACGAGGUAGAAGAAGAAGAGAUGAGCUCUUACGUGAUUGAAAUAAACUCAGAUCGUUUUGAUCGAGGAAACUCGGAUUCGAACGACAUGGAUGAAGCCAUAGCUUGGGCUAAGGAGAGAUCCCAACGGCCAGAAGCAAAGCAAACCCAAGAAGAAGACUUAAUGGAUUCAAGAAGUGAAGAAGCCAAAUCAGAAGAAGAGGUUCGUUAGUUGUAAUUAAAAAAAAAAAAAAAUCCGACAAAACCAGUAACUUAAUGUUCUCAGUUAAGUAAUGAUUGCAGAUGGAGAUGGAGAUGAAAGAUGAAGAGAUAAGAAUCUGGUUAACCGGAAAAGAGACCAACAUUAGACUCCUCCUCUCAACUCUACAUCAUGUAAGUCAGAGUUUUAAUUGGUUAAUUUGUCUCAGACCAAGUAAACCGGUCACUGAUUCUAACCAAACCGGGAAUUUUUCAUUCAGGUUCUAUGGUCAGAUAGCAACUGGCACGAGAUUCCUUUGGAAAAUCUUCGAGAUGGAUCACAAGUUAAGAAAGCUUACCAAAAAGCUCGGCUUUGUUUACAUCCAGAUAAACUUCAACAGAGAGGAGGAACUUCACCGGUUCAGAAGUCGGUCGCGAGCAGAGUGUUCUCCAUUCUUCAGGUAACUUAAACCGAGCAAGAACCGAGAUUGGUUCAACUUGUAAGCUUUGGUUCUUGUUAUGGUCACUAACUCUUAGCUGACAUUUUGGAAUUGUAGGAAGCAUGGGCUGUGUACGUAACAAAUGAAGGACUCUCAAGCUAAACCGGAAUUCAUAAAUCAUUUUCUGGUUUCUAUUAAACCGGAAAUGUUGGUUUAAAAUGUAAGAAGAAUAAGAAGAGGAAAAGCAGAGUUUGUAUCUUUUAUGAUUGUAAAAGUCAUGAACAUUCCCAUGUGUUGCAUAUGUGGCUUCCACCGUCAGUGUUCUUAUAUAUACAGAAAAUAACAAAAUGCUUGAAAACUACAUUUUUUGUCAACGUUUGAAAACUACAUUAAAGAUCAAAUUAAUGCACGAAACGAAUAGAACCUGGAUAAGGAAAAAAAAGGUUGUAAUUGUUAGUUGUUUUAAUAAUAGAUACAGUCAUACAGAGCAAACGCCUCCUUUUUUUUUGGUAAUAAUAGAUACAGAGCAAACACCUCCAUGUUCAUUGAAAUAAAACUAAAAACUCAUAAAAUCACGAAAACUAUUUUAUGACGAGUGUAUACUAAACUUUUGUUUUCAGUAUACAAAUAUGUAUACAUCCAUAAAAUUCUUUAUAUUUUUAGCUUUUAUUUCAUAUCGGAGAAGAGUGUAAUUAUAAUUUGUAAAGAUAUAACUUACAUUUAUUUUUGCACAAAAGCUAUAAAACAUUAGUUAGGUUGCCAUCUAAUCUUAGGACAACUCUCCCAGCCUAUUGUCAUCACUCUCCCAAGUCCCAACCUCCUAGCCUAUUGUGAGACUCUCGACACUAUAUAGCUUAAGAUAUCCUUUUGAAGCAGUCAUAUUAGAUUUUUUUUUUUUGAUAUUUUAUACUAUUGAGUUUUAUUUUUUUUUACAAAGAGUUUAUCUAGUGUUGGAGUUUAUUAUAAAUAAACGGUUUAGAGGAAUCAGUGAGAAAUAAUUAUAUAAGUUUUACGUAAUUUCUAAAUAAUAUUUGACAUUAAAUUGUUUAUCAUACUAACAGUUAGCUAUAUUAUUAUAAAAUAUAAAAUGAUAAAUUAUUUAUUGCAUUUUAUAAUUUAUUCACGUGUGUUGUAAAUUAGAGAAGACGAUACAUAACAUUUUAAAUCAAAUUAUAUACAUAUAUAUAUAAGGAAUUGCUAGAUAUGAUCAGUAUUUAGAACAUAUGCUCUUCAAAAACAUAAAACAUAAAACAUAUAUAUAUAUAUAUAUAUAUCUUUCAAAUAGACAUUUUUAAGUUUUUGUCACAAAAAUAGAUCACAAAAACUAAAGUGACCAAAAUAGCAUUUUUAAUUUUGAAAAUUUUAAUAUUUUUUUUAGUUUUUAAAAUUUGAAAUCUUAUUCCCAAAAUCCCACUCCUCAAUUCUAAACCCUAAACCCCACUCCCACCCCUCAACUCUAAACCCUAAUGUCUAGAUUAAUUAACCCCAAGUGUAUAUUUACUUUUUUUUUAAUAAAACAUUUAAGUCUAUUUUGGUUAAUUUUAUUUUUAAAGUCUAUAUUUGUGACAAAAACUGUUUUAGGUAUAUCAUAAGAAAGUUUAUAUUAGUUAAUAAAAAUAAAUAGUAAGCUAUUAAUUUUGUUUAUUGAAUUAUUAUUAAAUUUUAAUAAUGGCAUAUACUUAUGUACAAAAUAAUAUAUAUAAUUCAAUUUUAUUAUGUUUUAAUAUUUGGCAAAACACAAAAUACAUAUUUAAGAAACAAAGAGAGUAUAAUGUAGUUAUGUUCAUUUAGAUGUACAUCUGAGAAAUGUAUAUAGUCCUAUGUUGUUUUAGAAACAAUAAUGUUUUCCAAUAAAAUAUUAUGCUUUUAUUUUAGAUCAUUAUAUUUAUGUAAACAAGUGAAGGUAGUAAUUAAACCGAGAACUUUUAAAUGUAUGCAUUUUAAAUUGAUAUAAUUUUAGACAUAUUUAUUUUAAACAAGUGAAUACAGUAAUAAACCAAUUUUUUUUUAAAUAUAAGCAUCUUAAAUUGAUAGUCCUCACUUGACAUUCCAAAUAUGUUAGAGAAAGGAUUAUUUAUUAAAAAUGGGAUUAUUAUGAUAUUGAAGAGAAGUGGGUGCAGGAAUGAAAAAUAUACCAAUUGGAGGGGACAAUGCAUGCUAUAAUUUGAUGUCAAUAAACUUUCUUCCCUACCAAAAAGACGGUCUCUGUCAGAGACUGUGUUAUAUAAGUGUUUAGUUGAGUUUUAACUUUAACACCGCAAUAAGGGAAUCAAAAUAUCUGACCUAACAAAACCUCAUCUUCCCCACACCUGCAAAGAAUCAACCUAAUGGUUUGGCUUGGAGACUAGCAUCUCAUUGCUUGCAAUGCAUAACAAACAGCAUAUAACAAGGUUCCAAUGAUAACAGGAUAAUAAGAGAGAAUGCAAAGAGUAAAUACAUGCGAACACACAGAGAUAAACUAGUUUUCUCAACUUCAAAAGAGUAUUUCAAAAGGAUUUGGCAACACAGAUAAAGUCAUAACAUUAAAACAGAAAACAAAAUACGGUAGAGAUAGAGAGAAAAGGGUGACCAUAGCGAGUAGUCUUCUUGGCUGGCUGCUUACAGCUUGUCUUCAAAAUCAGACAAGGGAGUCAUCUGUUCCUUCAUACCCUUCCUCUUCCUGAUGUCAGUCACAAGCGUUGAAGCCUGCGAUCCUGCCUCCAAUGGGUCAGACGACAUCAUCUCCCAAUGAUCAAACACACACUGAGGGAAGGCCUGUCCUGAGGUUGCUGCUCUAAGCUGACUUGAGAAUCCAAAUGACUCGACAACUGGCAGGUACGCCUUGAUGUUGUAAAGCGGUGUUCCUGGCCUCUGCAUCUCCUCAAAGACGUGUCCACGCUUCUGAUUCAGCACGCUGUAGAUUCCUCCAAGAGCUCCCUCUGGUGCUUGGAUCUCAACCAUGUAAACCGGUUCCAAAAGCCUGGGCUUGGCAGUGAUCUGAGAGGCGUAGAUAACCCUCCUCGCUGUCGGGAUAACCUGACCACCACCUCUGUGGAUAGCAUCAGAGUGGAGCACCACAUCGCAAACCUCAAAACAGAUUCCUCUCAUGUUCUCAUCACAAAGAGGACCUUCCUUGGAAGCCCACUGGAACCCAGCAACAACAGAAUCCUUGAUCUCAUUCAGGUAUUGCACUCCCUUACACAUGUCAACAACCAUGUUGGGCCCUGUGGUUUCAGGUCCAAACGCCCAUAUCUUCUUUGCGAGAUCCUUGUCCCAGCCAAACUCCUCAGCCAAGAUCUUGGAACGUAUCUUGGGAUCAUCUCUUGGACCAAUACGGCCUUCAUCAAUCGCCUCCGCAAGACCAUCCUCCAAGGGCCUAGCCUCCAUGUACAGACGGUUGUGCUUGUUCGGGGACUUGCUCAUCACAGUACGCACAGAUCGCUCCAAAACAGUCUCACGGAAUGAGACGACAGGGUCUGACUUGACAAUCUCAGCACCACCCAUGAAAUCAUCCUGAAGAUCCUUCAAGCAAAUCUCAAGAUGCAGUUCUCCAGCACCAGCAACAAUGUGCUCGCCUGACUCCUCCAUUGUGCACACAACCAUAGGGUCAGACUUGGCCAGCCUCUUAAGUCCCUCAACAAGCUUGGGAAGAUCAGAAGCGACCUUGCACUGAACAGCAACACGUACAACAGGGGACACAGAGAACUUCAUCGCACGGAUAGGAUGAGCAUCAACUUCUUUCUCAUUCGUCAGCGUAGCAUUCUUAGUGAUGAACUGAUCAAGACCAACCAUAGCAACGGUGUUACCACAGGGAACAUCCUCAACAGUCUCUUGCCUCUUGCCCAUCCAGAUGACAGUCCUCUGAACACUCUUGACAUAAAGAUCUUUCUUCUCACCAGGAACAAAGUUGGGACCCAUGAUCCUGACCUUCAUACCGGUAGACACCUUUCCAGAGAAGACACGCCCAAAAGCAAAGAAUCUUCCCUUGUCUGAAGCGGGAAUCAUCUUAGAAACAUAGAGCAUGAGCGGACCAUUAGGAUCACAGUUUCUGAUGGCAGUGGCAUACUGAUCAUCGAGAGGACCUUCAUACAGGUUCUCAACACGGUACCUCUGGGCAGUGUGGGGAGAUGGAAGGUGAAAGAUCAUCAUCUCAAGCAAUGCAGUACUCGCAGGGAGCCAAGUCUGCAUAACACGCUUCAUCAAAGGUUUACCCAUAAGGUCCUUCUCAUCAGACUUCAUCUGGACACCAAGCUUCUGCAACAUAGGCCACAACUUAUCCUUCUGGUCGUUCAUGCAAGUGGCGAUGAUCUGCUUGAUGGGUUCAUAACAGAACUGCACAAACCCACGCUUGCAGGUAGCGGACCCAGUGUUCUUGCUGCUCCAUUUCCUGGUGGCGGGGUCAAAGAAGUUCUCACCCCACAGCCUCUCCAUCAUCUUAGUCUCGUCAACACCGAACUUGGAAGCAUACAUCUUGGCAAAGUUGGUAAGGGUGAAAGCCCAUCCGUGGAGACCAGCAGAGAAGGCGACAGUUCCCUUCUCAGGGUAAACCUGAACAUCACCAAGGAGAGGAUCCUCGUACGUUGCCAUGAUGACAUUAGCAUUCUCAAUAACCCUCUGGAAAGUCUGGUAAGCCUCCUCACCAUCAACCUGAAGCUCAAGGAAACACCUGUCCAUCUUGUUCACAGUCAGAACGGGCCUAAUCCUCUCCCCAAGAGCCUGACGUAGCACAGUCUCGGUCUGAACACACACACCCUCGAUACAAUCGACCACCACAAGCGCACCAUCGGUAAUACGGAGCGCAGCAGUGACCUCAGAGGAGAAGUCAACGUGGCCAGGAGAGUCGAUGAGAUUGAUAAGGUACUCGUUUCCAUCUCUGGCACCAGUGAAGCUCUUCAAGGAAGCAUCAGUCAUCUCGUAGUAGAGAGAGAUACCCGUGGACUUGAUAGUGAUACCACGUUCAGCCUCAUCAGCACGGGUAUCAGUCAUACGGACAUCACCAGCAACUUCUUGAGCAAUGAUACCAGCAGCAGCAACCAAGGAGUCAGUGAGUGUGGAUUUACCUGUCAAUCACAAGAUAUAUAAAAGCAUAAGAGACAAUAGAACAGAGUAGUAGGAAACUAAUUAAGUCUGAAAAUUAAAAAAAGACAGUACCAUGGUCGACAUGGGCAAUAACGGACAUGUUACGGAUGUUGUGUUUGUAAUCCAUAAUCCUCCGAAGCUCAUCGGAUGUGAACUUCACCUACAAGUUCAUUAAAAUAAACAAAUAUUUAAGCUUAGAAUCAACAAAAAUAACAACAACAACAAGGCAAAGUAAAAGAUAGUAUAAAAAAGUUAUAAGGCUUUACCAUUUUGACUAACUCUUAUUCUUCACCUACAAUAUCUCUGCAACCACAGAAACAAUAAUAAGAAUUAAUCAACUGAAAUGAAACGAUUUAAAAAAAAAAAUUAACACCAAAAUAAAAUCUCAUAAUCUUCUGAACUUGAAGCUUUUCAACACAGAAAAAUAGAAGAACAGCUCACAAUCAAAUGGUAUUUAUACAUUUCUACGAACAGAUCUAAAGAGACGAGACAGAACGAUAACCAAAAAUGAAAUUAACAACUAAGAGUCAAGGGGGAUUGGUUAAUCUAAACAUCGAAAGCUAAAACUAUGGAGAUUCAAUACGAAAACUAAGCAUCAACAAUCGGAGAUCGUAACAAGGAGGAGACGGACUAACAUUGGAGGGGAAGGAGAGAGAGAGACGAGCUUGAGAGAGCAGAGAUUGAGUGGAGGCGUUCGAUAUAUUCCCUUAUCUCUUCUAGGGUUUUCUCUCUGUUCUUUCGUGGGCCUCUUCGGCCCGAUACAAUAUUGGCCCAAUAGUGGCUAAUAUUUAAUAUUUUGGCCCAAUAUAGUUCGUGUAAGAUUUUGCUUUGAAGUUUUAUGGAAUUUGUUUUAGUUAUAAUGAGCAGUAUUACAAGUGAACAUAAUUUUGUACUAUUAUUUAAACUAAGACUUUAUGAUAGAUUUAUUAUAAAUAAACGGUUUGGAGGAAUCAAUGACGAAAUAUUAACUAUGUUUCCGGUAAUAUUCUAAACAAUAUUUGACAUAACAAUAUUAUUUUCUUUUAUUAUUAUUAUCUUUUAGACAUUAUAAUAUCGAUAUGUUGUGUAUCUGAUUCUGUAUAUGGAAUUUUAAAACCAUCCGAAUAUGUAAAGGCUUUUAAAUUACGGUUUAUCAUAUUCAAGCUUUACGCUAUUCACAACAUUCCAGUGGAAUCAAACAAACAAAAGAUUAACAAUUUAUCUUAUUAUUAAAAAAAAAUCUCCCAAAUGUAGUUUCCAAUUUACUGCUUUGCUCCACGCAUUGACGCUUCAUUUGUUCAACAACUUCAAAACCAGACUGGCAAACCCCAAAGCAACUUAUACAGAACAAUAUAAUCUCCAUUAACUUGGAGAACCGUGACAUCAUUAUUACAUACAAAAGGUUGAUCAUCAUCAGUCACUAGGAAGACUUAAACAUCAGUCGUGACUGCGAAUUAACCCUUGCGGCCUGAUUUCUCUCCUACAAGCUUCGUCUGGAUUGAAAUCAAAAGAAAAAUGGUGUAAUCAGAAAAAAUUAAAUACAAUUAUUCACAGGACGUGGGUGAAUAAGAUGCAACAGAAAAUCCAAAACCUUGUAGUUAUUUUUUCUUGACAUCAAAUCCCAUAGGUGCUGAUGCGGCCUCUAUUUUUGUGACUAUCUCAUUAGCCGGACAUUUUGAAGUAAACUGAGUUUUCCGUUUGACAAGCCCCUGAAAUUAAGCACUGAUUAUCGAAGGGAAAUAAAAAUUGUGAAAUUGGUAUUAUGAUGAACUACUUAUACCACUACUUAAAUUUUGCCUUACUUAGCAGUUUAAAGUACUUUUUGUGGAUUACGAUCCACAUUAAUCAAAUCUUAUCAUUUCAAGCAUUUUAAAUAUAUCAUAUAAUCUAAAAAAUUAUUUUAUUCUGAUUAUUUUUGAAUAAUCACAAAUAAUAAAUAGUAAAAAUUUGAUGUUAUUGGAAGAAUAUCAAGAACCACUGGAACCUUAGCAAUUAAUCUAAAUUUGUAAUGUUGGUAUACAUUCAAAACAUGGUUGAUUGUUUCUUUUGCUGCACACCUUACAUAUUAUGUAUAACACUUAUUCUCAUUAGAUUUGAUAUAACUGUAUUACAAUCCAACAUUAUUUGUCCAAUAAUCUGUCAUCAUUUUGGUGGCACUUGAAUUUCCAAAGAGUGUGGCUGCAAAUAUAUGCUUGUUUUAAUAACCCAAGCGAUUUUACAAUGUAAUGUCAUAUUUAGAAAUUUUUGUUUUUUAUGAGAAAAAAUGUGCUUCUUGCUACGAUAAUACAGUUUUGUUUUGGCUAAUCCGAAUCUUUAUUUAACUGAUCAACUACACUAUGGAGAAGCAGAUUAAUGAUAAUAAGUUUGAAAAGGGGUUGGUCGAACCAGUUUUGUCAUUCAUUAUCUUCGACGGUGAUUGGUAUCUCUCUCAAUAACGCUAUCUUACAUUUUCUCUUUGCACCAAAACAGGAUGCGUCUUUGAUUAGAACCGCAUUCAUCAUACAAUUUCAAGAUUAUACGAUGACAUUUGAAAAACAUAAAACGACCAAGAGUUAAUUAUUCUGAGCCUAUAGUUGCAAGAUAGGAUAUAUUAUGAUGAAUGCUCUUCGACAUAUAGAUGAGAUAAGCAAUGCCAUAAAGAAAAAGAGAUUUUCUGGCUUAUAAAAUACAAAAAUACAAAAACAACUCGAGGGAUCCUUUAAAAAAAAGAAAGACGGUCUCUGUGUUAUAAGUUUUUAGUAGAGUUUUAACUUCAACACCGCAAUAAGGGAAUCAAAAUAUCUGACCUAACAAAACCUCAUCUUCCCUACACCUGCAGAGCAUCAACCUAUGGUUAUGCCUUGGACACUAGCAUCUUAUUGCUUGCAAUGCAUAACAGCAUAUAACAACGUUCCAGUGAUAACAGGAUAACAAGAGUGCAAAGAGUGAACACAUAAGAAGUUUUCUCAACUUCAAGAGUGCAAAGAGUAAACACAUAAGGAUGUGGCAACACAGAUAAAGUCAUAACACCAAAACAGAGUAAACAAAAAUACGGUAGAUAUAACAACGUUCCAAUGAAAACAGGAUAACAAGAGUGCAAAAAAGAGUAAACACAAAGAUAAACCAGUUUUCAACUAAAAAAGUAAAACAUUCAAGAGGAUUGUGGCCACAGAUAAAGUGAUAUCAUAACACCAAAACAGAGCUAACAGUAAACAAAAUACGGUAGAGAUGGAGAGAAAAAGGUGACCAUAGUGAGUCUUGUUGGCUGCUGCUUAUAGCUUGUCUUCGAAGUCAGACAAGGGAGUCAUCUGUUCCUUCAUACCCUUCCUCUUCCUGAUGUCAGUCACAAGCGUUGAAGCCUGCGAUCCUGCCUCCAAUGGGUCAGACGACAUCAUCUCCCAAUGAUCAAACACACACUGAGGGAAGGCCUGUCCUGAGGUUGCUGCUCUAAGCUGACUUGAGAAUCCAAAUGACUCAACAACUGGCAGGUACGCCUUGAUGUUGUACAGCGGUGUUCCUGGCCUCUGCAUCUCCUCAAAGACGUGUCCACGCUUCUGAUUCAGCACGCUGUAGAUUCCACCAAGAGCUCCCUCUGGUGCUUGGAUCUCCACCAUGUAAACCGGUUCCAACAAUCUGG